CAAUAAACACUUUUUUUAUGUUUGGAGGAGAAUAUAAACAUCCGAUUCUGAUGGUUGUAUCUAGCGAAAAAUCACUUCACUUGGGGCCAAGGAUCAUUUAGGAAACGACGUCAGUUACCAAGGUGCAGCAGCUACGUUUUCAAAUUCAUGCUCCAUAUUCACAAUAUCUUCAUUCACAGCAUUAGCGUUCACCUGCAGAGUGAUGAGUUCAGAAUCUUUCAUCAUCUUCAUCGACACUUUCAUUGCCCGUUGCUCUUCUAACUGGCUUAUCCGCUCCUCAAUUUUAUCAAUAUCCUCUUCCAAUUUUAUUUUCUCAUUCUUACCCUCUGCCAUCCCAAUGUGGACCUUCUUCGCCUCAUCCUCUAGCCGUUUGCACCUAUCUUUGAUUGACAGCAACUUCUCAAGGCGCUCCGCUAUUGCCUUAACCUCAAAUCCAUGCAUUUCAAGCUCAGCAAGGACUUCCAUAUAGCUCUCGAAAACUUCUCUACCAUCAUCAACUCGCAACUUGGACAUCUUCUCUAUCAGAACUGCAAAGCUCAACAUAUGACCCAUAGCCAUUCCUUCGCGGCUCGCCUCUUUAUGUCCAAUCAGAGGACUGAAAUGUGGUUUUUGUGGCAGGACUUGGAAAACUUCUAGAGAUUCAAUGUUUUUCCAUAUAAGUGAGCUCUUAAGAAAUGGCAUCUCUAGAUCCUCCACAAGCUCAGUGGCUUCCGGAACAUUUAUCACUGAAGAUUGCUUGAAAUUUUCUACUUUUCUUUCUCUUUUACCUGGACAAUGAGCAUAUUCAAUCGGAAUAGUCGACAAAAUAGAUAAUGCAACCAAUCUUAUACUUCACUCAAGACAAACUCAGAGUGUACCUGGAAAGCAUGUUGAUAGAGCUUGAGUGUUACAGGAUUCCAUCACAGCAGCCAUGCUAACUUCUUUUGCCAUGUGAUUUUCCAAGGAAACUAUGGCUGACGAUCCGGUCAAGACAUCUUGGAAUUAUACAAAUCGAAUAAAGGGUUCAUAUAAAGACAAUAUUGAUCAAAUGAUAGAAUAAAACUUAAGUGCCAUUUGUUAUUCCAUUUCCAUUAGAGAACUUGUUUCAAGUGUAUGUUCAUCCUUCACCUUCCAUCUUAUAAUAAAAGCCAAUCAUUAGGGAUCAGAUUUUCUUUGAACAAGGACUUCCACAUUAAUUUUUUUUUGAAUGUGGUUUCAGAUUCUAUCAUCAGCAGACACUAAUUAAUAGAAACCAUAUCAGAAACUUCUACACUACAGAGACAAAUAUUGCAUUUGGAGAAAAGGCAACCAGAACAGAAUAGGUUGAAUUGGCACUAAAGUAUUUUUCCCUGUUUUGCAACUUCUGAAUUGUUAAAAGAGGUCAAUCAGUAAAACAAUAUGUCCAUGCACUUCUAAGUUGGUAUGAUCAGCAUGUAUCUUAUACAAUACAUGUUCACCAAACAAAUAAUCCUGGGCAUUCCUCACAGCACAGGCUGAGAUCAAACCAAAAUCAAGAUUCAUAAAUUGACAUUAACUUUCUAUCUUCUAUUUACCUCACUAUUUUUUUUAGGUUCUUUUUCUGUUAUUCACCUAUUUUUAAGGCUCCUAAAAGCAGAGGACUUUCAAGUUUCCAUAUGUACUAAAUGCUCCAUGCUGAUUACUGUAGACAAUUCAGCCUCUUCAGUUGCACAAUCUUGAAAGUCAAUUUCACUAUUACCAUUUCCAGCUAUAUUGCUCUGUUCACCUACAUGGAAGAAAUUAAUUAGAUUUUCUGUCUGUAUAAAUUAUUCAGCCAUUACUAAGGUAACAUCCUGCACCUUCUUUCUGCUGCCUGAUCACACUACUUUCUUUCUUCUGAUUAAUCACCUGUAUAAAAACUAGCACCAAUUAGGUUCAGUAGAUUAAAAAAAAUAGAUGGACAAGUUGAUUAAAUGCAUUUAUAAUUGAAUUAGCCACAUUUUAUUCUCAAAAUUAUACAGCGUUAUAGGCAAAAAGCAACAAGUAGCACAUUGUUCUCCCUUUUAAACGCCCCAGUUAUUGUGCCUAAAGCUGUUUUCCCCUAAUUAAUGUCAGUUUUCUUAUUUAAUUGGAAUACUCUUAUUACUUUUUCCUUUCCGUGCUGUUUUAUGUUUCUAGAUCAUGAAAGUGCGUCACCACAGAUAUUCGGACUUGCUUCAAUUAUACCUCAUCAGAAUGUUGGUAAGCGUUUUCUGCAUGGAGGCCCCUCCUCCCCUCAACUAAGGAAAAGGAGGAGUGAGCAUCUUUUUCCAUGUGCUCAAUUUCAACUAGGAUUUCAGCCAAGUCUCCUUUUGUCUUUUCCUCUCUGCCUGCAAAUCAUUUACAUUUGCUCUUAUUGAAAUAAGAUCCUAUUAUACAGGGAUAAAGAAAGGAGGCCUCUACCUACUGCUGGAACCCACUGGCUUGUAACUUUAGAACUCAUCUGUCUUUCCCUUUUCUCCAUGUAGCCUGUCACUUUAUUCUCCAGUAAAGCAUCUUGUGGACUAGGAUCCUGCAUUAGUAAGAAAAGCAUAGAACAUGGACUCAAGGAAAAGAGCAGUCAAUGGAAAAAAUUUACAAGAGUCUUAAAAAAGAAAUCACACAUUGAUCAGAGCAUAAGACUCGUUCACUUAAAGAAAGCGGGCUUACAACAUUAUUUCGGAGAUCGGUUGAGCAAUUGGUUUGCAUUUCUUGGUUUAUAGUCUUGAUUGGCGUCAACUCUGCAUGACAUGCUUGGGAAGACAAGGGUUUGACAGAGUUUGCUUUUUUCAACUUUUUGGAAGGGAAUGAAAGUGCAUCCUCACCUUUAGGUGGUGUCUUCCUUACUUUCUUACUUGGUGAUUGUGCAUUACAAGCCAUUGACUGCUUUAAUGGAUUCUUCCGUGACUUUUUGCAAAACAAUUUCUCUUCUCUGUAAUCCUUUGCUGUGCUUAAUUUUCUGCAAGAAGAUUUCUCUUCAAUCUCAUUCAUCGCUCUGAUUGAACUCUCAACACUUAUAGCUACCUCAUGGUCUUCUGCAUUGCUGUCAGCAUUUGUUAAUCUCUUCUCUUCAUAUUGUACAGCAAUACAUAUAUCCUGAAACAAAACCCAGUAAAUAAGCUACCACAGAGCAAUUUAGCUAUCUAAAGAUAAUUCCAGUUAAGAAACUUAAAUAAAAAAAUAAGUCUAGCAAAGACAAAAAGCUUACAGACCAUUCUGUUGUCAAAAAACCAGCAAUAACUACUCAAUUUGUUUACACCUCCAUUCACCCCAAGAAGUGUUGGGGUGAAUAGGGAGAAUUGAUAUCCUAGAUAUCCAAGUAACACUGAUUCUAGUUUAAAAUCUUCACAACAUACAAGUGGUUUUUAAAACCACAUAUCCUUGGCCCCCUUUGUUGACACAAAUUCACACAUUUGUUAACAGUUCAAAGCAAAAGAAAACAAUUUCCUAGUCAUUUAGUUAGGUCAAUUUGUCUCCAAGGAUCUAAUUAUUGUGUCCCACAACCAAUAAUGAAGAAAAAGAAACAUAUAUUUACCCCUCCUUAGACACAAUUCAAUGCCAAUGAUGGAUCAAAACAUAUGUCAUAGUAAUGUGAACAGACUUGCAGGCAUGCAAUUUUCCUACUAAGUCUCUCCAAAAGAGAGUGAGAAUAAUAGAGUAAAGAACAUUCAACAUCGAGUUGCAGCUUUAUGUAAAAGAACAUAGAAGGAAGAUGGAAUACCCUGGCAAGAUUAACCCAUACACCAUCCAUCACAGAGAGAUGUGGCCUUAUUUCAGAUUGACUCAGCUGCAUCUCCUUUUCUGCAUGCUUUAGAGCGACACUGUACCUUCCUUCUGUAAGAAUUUUGAUAAUGAGGGCUUCCCUCCAACUUGACUCAUGGAAAACAUCAACUGCUUCCAAGAUCUCAAAUUCUGUAAUAUCCAACUUAGGAGGGGGAGGGCGGAUGUGGAAGCAAUCAACAGUUUCUUUAAUAUGACCAUUUGAGCUGCCACAAUCUAGCAAGAAAGAAUUGAAGCCGACUUCCUCAAGAACAGUUGCUGGAAACCAAGCAUCUUCUAAGUUUUCUUUGUCAAGAUUCACCUCUACGGCCAUCCCUUUACUAAACCUUAAUCCUUCCAUUCUCUUUGAAGAGUCAGUAAACCAUAUCAGUCUUGUGUAUCAAAAUCAUAAGUAACAGUAUCAAGAAAUUGAAAGUAAAAUAGGAAAAAACACAUGGUAUAAAAAUAUGGAUAAUGCUUCAAAACAACAAAUAUCACCGUUCAUUGUUGAAGGAACUUUUAUAGAAAUGGAAAAAAGUUACUUGUACACCUGCUUCUUCAAACUUGGGCCAAAAAAACUGCAAAUAUCAUGUUUAACUUUGUCUGGAACAUGAUUCAACCAUAUAAAAGAUUUAUUGUGAACAAUGUUUAACAGGAAACCAAAUGUCAUGGCUAUGGGCCUAAGGCAAAGAUAAAACACGAUACUGUAACCUUCAAGAAUGGUUAUUACGGUAAGGGGAGAAAAUCUGAACGAUCCUGGAUUCCUAAUCAACAUAAUUUGGCUGAAUACAAGGCAUGCAAGCCUUUUGUCCGGCUCACAUGGAAACGCCUAAAACGUACAUUGAUUUGCUUCAAAAGAUACUACUGUUAGCUAGUAAUUUGAGCAUAAGGCUAAAGUAACUGAAUGAAAAUGACAAAAAGAGUAAGGGCGUGAGCCACAAAUGGGAAAAGAUAACAAGGAAAUUUGAACCAGAAACCAGAAAAUUCCAACAGCACUUUAAGAAAAAACAUGCAGAUGAAAUAAAAAAUGCACCUUUUGUUUUUGGGGUCGAGACCAUGCCCCAUUACUCCAAUCCCAAUAAAACCUCAAAUCUUUAGAGAGAAACUGAAAUUGUUCGGGUGGGUUUUCAAAAACAACAGUGUACUUCUUUGAGUUGGUCUUAUCAUCCUCAAAAACAUCAACUUUAGUGACGAUACCCUUCCACCAGCCAUCACGGUGAAAGGCGUCAACGACAUCAAGUGGUUCAAAGGCAGGUAUAGUACUAGGAACCGGAGGCAAAGGCCUAAUGAAGGAAAAAUCAACGUACUCCGUCAAUGGCUUCUUCUCAUCUGUAUCUGACAGUAGAUUACGAUACUGAACCAAGGCCUCGGCUUUUCUUUUAGAGUAACAGCUUCUUGAAGAAGAGAGUGAUUUGAGGAUCGUGGCCUCGUACCAUGCGCCUCUAAACCCUUCUUCAUCGCUGCUCACCUCCACCAGGUCUCCUAUGCUAAAAUUCCGUCCGCUAUUUUGCCUGCUGGGGCGCCCCCCUCCCAUGCCAGCCUAAAGCAAUCAGUGUGAGGAAAAGUCAAGGCGAAAAGCAAGACAUCAGUCAAAUGCUUUUCUAUUCUAUUUCUAUUUCUGUUGCCUUUGCAUUUGGGUAAUUUGUUUAUAUCUCAGGCCCUGAUUCUGGACUCCACUAAAAAAAGCGUUAAGCCCAAUUGAUGGAUGGAUACACUAGCGGAGUGCUAGUCCGAUGAAAUUGAAAUAGAGAGUAAAUUGGUUUAAUCCAACCAACUCAAAAAAUUUGGUGAAAAAGAAAAUACAUAUUGAGUUUAAAUUGUUUUGGUGCUGGAAAUGACUUGAAAAUGUUUAUAAUUGAGUAAGACUCAAUUUUAGACUUAAAACAUAUAAUAAAACCCUAUUUAAUCUAUUGUAAAGUUAAAAAUUAAAAAUCAUACAAAGGACAUAACUUCUAUGAAAUUACAUCAUUUUAGUAUUAUAACUCUAGAACUUUAGACAAUGAUUUCUUCCCUCUCAAAUCCUUAAAAUUAUUUCUUAAUUUUAACUUUUCUCACAAAAAAUAUUAAAUCUUUAAUCUUUAUUUAUUAAUUCUAUAUAUUCAUCGAGUGUAAUUAUAUUUUUUACUUUUCUUCUUAAACUUUAUUAUUUUUAUACAAAUAAAAUUUUAUUUAUGAAUUAUACUUUUUGGAAAAAGAAUUCAGAUUUCUUAGAUUCGAUUUUAAAUUACUACAACUAGAUAAUAACCUCUAGACCGUUCAACCGACCUAUUGAGACUCCUAAUACAAGCAAAAGUCUUCCCUCCUCUUUUCCCUGAAUUUGAUCAGAAAAUUGUCACGUCCGGUCGCAUUCAGUCUUUGGAUUCUCAUCUCUAAUCAAGAACCGUAGUUGAAAGAUAAAUAAGUUGAACCAGCACAUGUAUUUCUUUAACUACCCAAAAAGGAAGCAACAUAAUGAUCUAAGUGCUAAUUAAUGCCAAAGUUUCUUUUGUAGGUGGUUAGUUGCCGCUUGCCUGCUAGUUGUUUCAGCCUUUCAGGUUUUCUAUGUAAAAUUAAAACGUAUCCAAGUUAGGUUUAAUACAUAUCUUAUAGUGUUAUUUUAAUGUUACUAUUAACUUCUCGGAAAUAAAAAUGUGAAUUUUAAGAGAGAAUCUUCAAAUUAACUUAAAAGGAAAAAGAACCACCAAUAAGAUUUGGCCUUUAAUUUGAGGUUAAAAGGUGAGCCAAUUGUAUACUACAGAAUUAGGCAAAACCAAGUUUGAAGAGCAAAGUCUUUUUGUAGUUUGGAAGUGAAGAUUCGUUGAAAGUGGUUAAGAGUCAUCCAUAUAUUUUUAUAUGUAUAUGUAAGCGUAUCUCACUUUUGGCUACACCUUGAAAAGUUGUAGCUUUUACAUGGUAUUGGUGUGUGAAUGUGCAUGGAAGCGGUAAUCAUAGGCACCGAUCUAAUGCUUCAACGAAUGUGAAGAAAGAAAAUUAGUUGAUCGUGUAUUGAUAUCAUUCUCCGACUAAUUGCGAAGGAAUCUUUUAGAUGAAAGAAGGAACGCUGAAAAUCGAGGCAUGCCCAAAUAUUUUGACUCAGGCUUUGCACCAUUAGGAUCUCCAUCCUUCCUUGUUGCUCUGGGCACGAGGACUCCUGAUGACGCAAGGUUGGUCAUAAGAACAUGGGAACGCAAUUAACAAGCUUGACUAGUGGCUUUGGGCUUAGUUUGAAGAUCAAGCAGGAGAGACGUAACUCCACACGUGUAUGGAGAAAUAAGGUUAUUUUUUAUUAAUUCAAGCAUAAUACAAGCCGAAAUUCGAGUACUUUGAUGUUUGAUAUACAUAUAAUGAAGUAGUUUGGGUAGGAGUGUUUUUAGGUAGGCUUACCUGAAUUUACCCUUAUUUUUAUUAAGUUGGCACAUAAAAUUUAGGGCUACGAGAGUUAUUGCCUAGUCAACUCCUUUCUAGUUCUUAAUUUGACUUUAGUUUAUUAAUAUCUAUUUAUUUAUAUAUUCAUAUUUAGCUUCUAGUCUCUUAUUAUAGAAUGAGGGCUUUCGCACUAUAAAAACCGCACGCAACUGAAUACUUGAAGCUAAUGAGGAUAAUAUUUCAGUUUUCUAUUUUGUAAGAAAUCAAGUUAUGUGUUCUUUUAAGAAACUUGUGGACUUAUCAACAUCCGGACUAGCGAGCAUAAACUUAUCCCUCAUGUCCUUCCUUUCCCUUGUGUUCUUUGUCUACGCUUGUAUUUAAAUUAAUUCGAUUUGAUCCUUACACUUAGCCUUAUGGAAGAGAAUAAAGAACUUGUGAUUUCUUUCCUUAUUAGAUGAGAAAUCCUACCUAUAUUUUGUUUGUCUCUUUUGUGUCUCUCUUUCUAAUCUCUAUGUAGUAUGUUAGUUUGGUUUUAUAUAGGGAGCACAAACACGACUGUUGGGUGAAAGCGCAUGGACGCGGCAAUCAUAGACACCGACCUAAUGCUUAGAGGAAUCUGGAGAAAUAAAUUAGUUAAUCGAAGGUUGAAAUCAUUCUCCAAAUGAUCAUAGAUGAAUCUUUUGGAGGAAAGAGGGAAAGAUAAAAAUCGAGUCAUGAACAAAUAUUCUGAUUUAGGAUUUACACCAUUAGGAUCUCCAUCAUUCCUUAUUCCUCUAGGCAUGACGACACAUGAUGACACAGGGAUUGGCAUAAGGAAUCAUGAAAAUGCAAUUGAUAAGCUUUCUUAGUGGCAUUGGGACUUAGCUUUAAGAUAAAGCAGGACAAGAUAUAAAUCCACUUGCAUAAGGGAGAAAUCAUAAUCUUAUCAAUGAACCCAAGCAUAAUAUAAUCAGGAUUGCGGGCCUUUUUUAUCUUUGGUAUACAUAUAAUUAAGUAAUUUGGUUUGGAGUAUCCUUAUAUAGGCCCACAUGAAUUUCCCCUUCUUUCUAUUAAAUUGGUUCAUAAAAUUUGGGAUCUCCAUCAUUCCUUGCUCCUCACACGAGGACUCCUGAUGACACAAGGAUUACUAUAAGGAUUGGUUAACCACUCUCGUAGUCCCAAAUUUUAUGAGUCAGCUUAAUAAAAAUAAGGAGAAAUUCUUGUUGACCUACCUAAUAACACUUUGACCCAGACUACUUGAUUAUAUGUGUCCCAAACAUCAAAAUGCUUACAUUUCCACUUGUAUUACGCUUAGAUUUAUUAAAAACAACAUGAUAUCUCCCUUACGCACUUGGAUUUACAUCUUGUCCUACUUGAUCAUCAAACCAAUCCCCACGGCACUAGUUAGGCUUUUUAAUUGCAGUCGCAUGAUUCCUUUUGCCAAUCCUUGUGUCAUGAGGAGUUCUCAUGCAUAGAGGAACAAGGAAUGAUGUAGAUCCUAUUGGUGUAAACCAUGAAUCAGAAUAUUUGGGCGUGUCUCAAUUCUCAAUGUUCCCUCUUUCCCCCCAAAAGAUUCAUUUGCAAUCAUUUGAAGAAUGAUAUCAAUACUCGAUCAACUAAUUUUCUUUCAUUGCAUUUGUCCAAACAAUAGAUUAGUGCCUAUGAUUUUUGCUUCCACGUGAUUUAACUCACCACUCCUAUUUAUGCUCGCCAAAUAAAACCAAACCAUUAUAUAACACAUCGAUUAGAAAGAAACGAACAAAAGAAAAAAACAAAUGAGAACAUAGGUAGGAUUUCAGAUCCGAUAAGGAAAAAAAACACAAUUUCUUUAUUCUCUUCUAUGGCUAAGCGUAAGUAUCAAAUUGAAUUGAUCUAAACACAAGGGUAAACAAAGAACAUAAGAAAAAGGAUGGACGUGAGGAAUAAGUCUAGGUUCGCUGGUGUGGAUCUUCAUAAGUAUGCAAGUUCUUGAAAGUACCCAUACCUUAAUUCUUUAUAAGGUAGCAAAUUGAAAUAAUAUGCUCACUAGCCUCAAAUAUUCGAUUCCAUGCAAUUUGUAUAGUGUGAACUCCCUCAUUCCAUAAGAAGAAGAAACUAGAAACUAAAUAUGAGUAAAUAAAUAAAGAAAGAGGAAUAAACUAAAGUCAAAUCAAGAACUAGAGAGGAGUUGACUGGUUAUCAACUCUCAUAGUCCUAAAUUUUAUGAGCCAGCUUAACGAAAACAAGGAAAAAUUCGCAUGAGGGUACCUAAUAACACUCCAACCAAAAAUACUUCAUUAUAUCCAUCCCAAACAUUAAAGCGCUUGAAUUCCUGCUCAUAUUACACUUGGAUUAAUCGAAAACAACAUAAUGUCUCCCUUACGCGUAUGGAUUUAUAUCUCAUCCUACUUGACCAUCAAGCAAAGACUCAAUGCCACCGAUCAACCUUGUCAAUUGCACUCCCAUGAUUCCUUACGCCAAUCCUUGUGUCAUCAGGAGUCCUCAUCCUCAGUGGAGCAAGUAAUAAAGGAGACCCCAAUGGUGUAAAUCAUGAAUAAAAAUAUCUAGGCGUGCUUCGAUUCUCAUCCUUUCUCUUGUGUUCUUUGUCUAUCCUUGUGUUUACAUCAAUUUGAUUUGAGCCUUACACUUAGCCGUAUGGAAGAGGACAAAGAACUUGUGAUUUCUUUCCUUAUCGGAUAUGAAAUCCUACAUAUAUUCUCAUUUUGUUUGUUUCUUUUAUGUCUCUCGUUCUAAUCUCUGUCCACUAUGAUGGUUUAGUUUUAUUUGGGGAGCAUAAACAUGACUGUUGAGUGAAAGCGCAUGAAAAUGGUAAUCUUAGGCACCGAUUUAAUGCUUCGAUGAAUGCGAAGGAAGAAAAUUAGUUGAUCGAGUAUUGAUAUCAUUAGCUGAUGAUCAAGCAGGACGAGACGUAAAUCCACGCUCGUAAGGGAGAAAUCAUUUCUUUUUUUAUUAAUCCAAGCACGAAUGAGCGUGUUUUGAUGUUUUGGAGACAUAUAAUAAUGUAUAUUGGGUCGAAAUGUUAUUAUGUACGUCCAUACAAUUUCCUCUUAUUUUCAUUAAGGAAUCAUAGGAAAGCAAUUGAUAAUCUUGACUGGCGGCAUUGGAGCAUGACUUGAUGAUUAAGUAGCAUGAGACACAAAUCGACAAGUGUAAAGGAGAAAUUAUAUUGCUUUAGAUUAAUACAAGUCGGAAUGCAGACAUUUUAAUAUUUGGGAUGCAUAUAAUGAAUAAUUUGGUUCGGAGUAUGAUUAGGUAUACUCACAGGAAUUCUCCUUUAUUUUCGUUAAGCUGGCUCAUAAAAUUUAGAAAUAUCAUAGUUGUUGUCCACUCAACUCCUCUCUAGUUCUUGAUUUGACCUUAGUUUAUUCAUCUUUCUCUAUUUAUUUAUUCAUAUUUAGCUUCUUAUUUCUUCUUCUUAUGGAAUGAGGGCUUUCACACUAUGUAAACUGCAUGCAAUUGAAUAUUUGAGUCUAGUGUGCAUAUUAUUUCAGUUUUCUACCUUGCGGAGAAUUAAGUUGUAAGUUCUUUCAUGAACUUUGUGGAUUUAUAAAGACCUGCACUAGCGAACCUAGACUUAUCGCUCAUGUCCUUCCUUCCAUUUAUGUUCUUUUGUUCGUUUCUUUCUAAUCUAUAUCUUGUAUAAUUAUUUGAUUUUAUUUGGCGAGCAUAAACAAGAGUGUUGAGUUAAAGCGCGUGGAAGCGACAAUCAUAGGGACUGAUCCAAUGCUUGGACAAAUGCGUAGAAAGAAAAUUAGUUGAUCGAGUAUUGACAUCAUUCUUUGAAUGAUCGCAGAUGAAUCUUUUGAAGGAGAGAGGGAACGAUGUAAAUUGAGGCACACCCAAAUAUUUAUGAUUCAAGAUUUUCACCAUUAGGAUCUCUGUCAUUCCAUAUUUCUCUAAGCAUGAGGACUCCCUGAUGACACAAGGAUUGGCAUAAUGGAACAUUGGAAUGCAAUUAACAAGCUUGACUAGUGACAUUGGGACUUAGCUUGAUGACCAAGCAAGAUGAGAUGUAAAUCCAUUCGCGUAAGGGAGAAAUCAUGUUGUUUUCGAUUAAUCCAAGCGUAAUAUAAGCAGCAAUUUUACCAUUUUGAUGUUUAUGAUGCAUAUAAUGAAUUAAUAUUGGUCGGAGUGUUGUUAUGUUGGCCAUUGUAAAUUUUCAAUUAUUUUUAUUAAGCUGCCUCACAGAAUUUGGGCACGAGAGUUGUUGACCAGUCCACUACUAUCUGCUUCUUAAUUUAACUUUGGUUUAUUCAUCUUUUUUUAUUAUGUAUUCAUAUUUAGCUUCAAGUUUCUUCUUCUAAUAGAAUAAGGGCUUUCACACUAUACAAACUGCAUGCAACCGAAUACUUGAGGCUACUGAGCAUAUUGUUCUAGUUUUCUACAGUGUAGGAAAUCAAGUUGUGGGUUCUUUCAAGAACUUUUUUGGACUUAUCAAGACUCGUGCUAGCAAACUUUGACUUAUUACUUUUGUCCUUCCCUUCUUUUAUGUUCUCUAUCUACCCUUGUGUUUAAAUCUAUUAGAUUUUAUCCUUACACUUAGUCAUAUGGAAGAGAACAAAAAAAUUGUGAUCUUUUCCUUAUCGGAUCCAAAAUUCUACUUAUGUUCUUAUUUUUUUCAUCUCCUUGGUGCCUCUCUUUCUAAUUUUUGUUUAGUUUGAGGGUUUGGUUUUACUUGGGGAGUAUAAACAUUAGUGUUGAGAGAAAACUCAUUGAAGCGGCAAUCAUAGGCACUGAUCCAAUGCUUGGACAAAUGCAAAUAAAGAAAAUUAGUUGAUCGAGUAUUGAUAUCAUUCUCAGAAUGAUCCGGACAAAUCUUUUGGAGGAGAGAGGGAAUAGCGAGAAUCGAGCCAUGCUCAAAUAUUCCAAUUAAGAAUUUGCACCAUUAGGAUCUUCGUCAUUCCUUGUUUUUAUAGGCACGAGGACUCCUUAUGACACAAGGAUUUGAAAUAAAUUCAAUUUGAUCCUUAUGCUUAGCCAUUUGGAAGAGUAUAAAGAAGUUUUGAUUUCUUUCAUUAUCAGACUCAAAAUCCCACCUAUGUAAUUAUUUUAUUCUUUUCUUUUUGCCCCUCUUACUGAUCUCUGUCUAGUAUAAUGGUGUGGUUUCAUAUGAGGAGUAUAAACACAAGUGUAGAGUGAAAGUGCGUGGAAGCAGCAAUCAUAGGCACUGAUUUAAUACUUGGACAAAUGCGAAGAAAGAAAAUUAGUUGAUUGAGUACAGGCACCAUUAGGGUCUCCAUCAUUCAUUAUUCCUCUAGGCACGAGGACUCCCGAUGACAUAAGAAUUGGCUUAAGGAAUCAUGGGAAUGCAAUUCACAAGCUUGACUAGUGGUAUUGGAGUGUGACUUGAUGAUUAAGUAGGAUGAGUUACAAAUCCAAGCGCGAGUUUUGAUGUUUGGGAUGCAUAUAAUGAUGUAAUUUCUGCCAAAUUGUUAAUAGGUAGGCCCAUGCAAAUUUUCCCUUAUUUUGUUAGGCUGGCUCAUAAAAUUUGGAACUACAAAUGUUGUUGACUAGUUAACUCCUCUCCGGUUCUUGAUUUGACUUUAGUUUAUUCAUCUUUAUUUAUUUAUUUAUUUAUAUUUAGCUUGUAGUUUCUUCUUUUUAUUGAAUGAGGGUUCUCGCACCAUGAAAAUGCAUGCAACUAAAUAUUUGAGGCUAUUUUGAGCAUAUUAUUUCAGUCUUCUAUAUUUCAGAACAUCAAGUUAUGGGUUCUUUCAAGAACUUUACAGACUUGUGAAGACUCGUGGCGAACCUAGACUUAUCUCCCAUGUCCUUUCUUUUGUGUUCUUUAUCUACCAUUGUCUUUAAAUCAUUUCGAUUUGAUCCUUACAUUUGCCAUAUGGAAGAGAAUAAAGAACUGGUGAUUUCUUUCCUUAUCAAAUCUGAAAUCCUAGUUAUAUUCUUAUUUUGUUCAUUUAUUUAUUAUCUCUUUUGAGUCAUAAAUCCACGUGUAUAAUGGAGUAGUCAUGUUGUUUUCGAUCAAUCCAAGCAUAAUACAAGUGGAAAUGCAAGUGUUUUGAUAUUUAGGACGCAUAUAAUGAAGUAAUUUGGGUCGAAGUGCUAUUAGUUAGGCCAAAAAAAAUUUCUCUUAUUUUUGUUAAGCUGGCUCUUAAAAUUUAGGACUGCGACAGUGUUUGACCAGUCAACUCAUGUCUGGUCCUUGAUAUGACUUUAGUUUAUUCAUCUUUCUUUAUUUAUAUAAUCAUAUUUAGCUUCUAGUUUUUUCUUCUUAUGUAAUAAGGGCUUUCACGCUAUAAAAACAACAUGCAGCCAAAUACUUGAGGCUAGUGAGUAUAUUAUUUUAUUUUUAUACCUUGUGGAAAAUCAAGUUAUUGAUUCUUUCAAGAACUUCGCGGACUUAUCAAGACUCAUACUUGUGAACAGAGACUUAUUCCUCAAGUCCUUCCUUUCUUUUAUAUCCUUUGUCUACCUUUGUGUUUACAAAAGUUCUAUUUGAUCCUUACGCUUAGCCGCAUGGAAGAGAAUAAAAAACUUAUGAUUUCUUUGUUGAAAAAACACACGCAGUGGUGCAGCAGAAGCUCUUAAAAAUUUCAUAUCUUAUAGAAAUUAAGAUUACAAGCUGCAAUUGAGGAUUUAAGUUGAAAAAGUAAAUAACUUUUCUUUUAUGAACAUGAAGAACACAACUUUUUUGAUUGUUGAUGAUUUUUAUGUUAGAGAAUUAAAUAGAGAUUCACAAUUGCGAACCCUCUAGAUUAUCUCACAUAAUCAAUUUUAAGGAAAGCUAUUCAAUCAUUAAAGAUGAAGAACUCUUCUUCUUUCAAGUUUUCUACUAUGAUAACCUUAUUAUAAUCAUAAGUAUGUCGAAUUAUAUCACUAUAUAUGAUAAUAGGAGUAAGAAAGUCUCUUAUAUAGUGUAGAAACACAUGUCACUAUAAAACUCUUUUGUGAUGACAUGUGUCAACAAGUAUUAACACAUGCCAUCAUAAAACUCUUUAGUGAUGACACGUGUAUAGCUAUAUUGACACAUGUUAUCAUAAAACUCUUUUAUGAUGACAAAUGUCAAGCUAUAUUAACACAUGUCAUUAUAAAACUCUUUUGUAAUAACACAUGUCAAGUUGCUUUCUUGACAUAUGUCAUUAUAAAACCCUCUUAGUGAUGAUACUCGUCUAGUUGCUUUCUCUACAUAUGUCACCAUAAGUGCUUUUAUGAUGACACAUCUCAAGCUACUUUCUUAAUACGUGUCAUCAUAAACGCUUCUAUGAUGACACGUGUCAAGCUACUGUACAAGUACAUGUCACUAUAAACUCUUUUUGAUGACAUGUGUCGAGCUCCUUCAAUAUAUAAUACUUAUAUAUUAUACAUUAUUUAGACAUUUACGGACUUUAACUUUGGAAGAUACUAGUGUCCCUACUUGAGGUACAAGUUAAGUCCAUCGCUGUGCUUGAGUUGAUCUUAACGUAUGUGACUUUCUAGGUUCAUUAUUAAUUAGUAAUGGGAGUUUAAUAUUAAACUCCUUAAUUUUAAUUAGAACACUUUAACCAACUAAUGGAACAAUCAAUUGUCCCUUAAUCAUUCCCAUAAAUUAUAAGUGGCCUCUAGCAACAUAAAGGAAGGACGUGAGGGAUAAGUCUAGGUUCGCUAGUACGUGUCUUCAAAAGUUCUCAAAGUUCUUGAAAUAACCCAUAAAUUGAUUUUCCGCAAGGUAGAGAACUAAAAUAAUCUACCCACUAGCCUCAAGUAUUCGAUUGUAUGUAGUUUUUAAAGUGCGAAAGCCCUCUUUCCAUAAGAAGAAGGAACUAGAGGCUAAAUAUGAAUAAAUAAAUAAAGAAAGAUGAAUAAAUUAAAGUCAAAUUAAGAAUGGGAGAAGGAUUGAUUGGUCAACAACUCUCGUGGUUCCAAAUUUUAUGAGCCAGCUUAAUAAAAAUAAGGUAAAAUUCGCGUGGACCUACCUAAUAACACUUCGACUCAAAUUACUUUAAAUGAAUUCGAUUUGAUCCUUAUACUUAGUUGUAUAAAAGAGAACAAAGAACUGGUGAUUCUUUCAUUAUUGGAUCCAAAAUCUUACCUAUGUUAUCAUUUUGCUCGUUUAUUUUGUGCCUCUCUUUCUAAUCUCUAUCUACUAUGAUGGUUUGGUUUAAUCUAAGGAGCAUAAACACAAGUGUUAAGUGAAAGUGGCAAUCAUAGGCACCAAUCCAAUGCUCAGACAAAUGCAAAGAAAUAAAAUUAGUUGAUGGAUUAUUUAGGCUUGGAACUUGAUCUCCUCGACUUAGUUGGCAACUUGGCUCCUUAGGCUUGGGUUUGCAUCAGUUCCUCUAGGCACGAUGACUUUUAAUGGCACAAGCAUUAGAGUAAGGAAUCAUAGAAACUCAACUGAUAAGCUUGACCGAUGGCAUUGAGGCUUAACUUGAUGAUGAAGCAAGAUAAGAAAUAAAUCCACACGCGUAAGGGAGAAGUCAUGUUGCUUUUUAUUAAUCCAAGCGUAACAACAAGCAGCAAUGGGAGCAUUUUAAUGUUUAGAAGGCAUACAAUGAAGUAAUUUAUAUCGGAGUAUUAUUAGGUAGGCACACGCGAAAAUGAAAGAGUGAAAUGGAGUAUAAUGAACAUCAAUGAGGCUAUGGAGAAGAUGCACUUAUAUAUGACAGCCAACUAAAAGCCAUAUUAGAGCAAAUCAAUGCUAAUGCUAGUGCAGGAAACAAUAGGUAGAACUUGGUAGGCAAUGAGGAAGAUUUAGUCUUGGUCUAUGAUAAGGAUGAUAAUGCCACAACUGUGGAUGUUGGCCGUGGCAUGGGUUAAGGAGCUAAAGGAGGCUGAAACAAUGCAAUAGGUAGAGGGAAUAGUGGAGGUGAGUUUGGUGGUUACUAUUGGUAUAAUGAUGAUGUGGAUAGAAACUUGGAUAGCAUCAAACUUAGGAUUCCUACUUUUUAGGAAAAUCAUAUCCGGAGGCAUAUUUGGAGUAUGAAAACCAAGUAGACCUUAUCUUUGAUUGUCCUAAUUUUUAUGAGGAAAAGAAGGUAAAGUUAGUGGUUACUCAAUUUUCUGAGUAUGCAAUAGUGUGGUGUGAUCAAUUGGUGGCGAGUAGGAGAAGAAACAUGGAAGCGCCUAUUGAUACUUGGCAUGCUCUCAAAAUCAUCAUGAAAAGAUAUUUUGUACCUAGACAUUACCAUAGGAAAUUACAUCAAAGACUCCAAGCUUUGAAGAAAGGUACUAGGAAGGUAGAGGAUUAUUAUAAAGAAAUGGAGAUGCUCAUGACAAGGACUGAUUUUGAUGAAGAUAGGGAAGCUACCAUAGGAAAUGGCAUGUUUUAUUAUUGGGCUUAAUAAGGAGAUUGUGAAUAGGGUCGAAUUACAACAUUAUGUAGAACUUGAGGAGUUAGUUCAUCUUGCAAUUAAGAUUGAAAAGUAAUUAAAACCAAGGGGCGCAACAAGGUUGGAACAAAAAGGCACUUCAAGCAAUAGGCCUAAUUUGUCUAAUCAAUAGAAAGGAAAUAAAAGAGGAGAUGAUAUGGUUGUUUUUUAUGGGAAAAGAAUAAGAAUGUUUUAGGCAACAAGGUGAUAUGGAACCUCCAUGAAACUUGAGGACUCCUUUUGAAUUAUGGACCCCCAACACAUUAACAUGAAAACUCCAAGAACCAAUUCGGUUCAACCCCUAAGAAAGGUUAGAAAACAUAUUACUUAGAAAGAUGAUCAAGAAUUAGAACCUAAGGAAAACUAAGUCCUUUAAACCUCAAUUCCAAGUACACCACAAGGAUAGAUAAACUCCUUGAUAAGUAAGAUUUGCAUUCAAAUAAGAUCACAAAGACAAAGCAAAAGCUUUAAGGUUUACAAACCAAUUAUCAUUCAACUUCAACUUCAACUUAAUUUUUUUGUUAAAUCAAAAUUCAUACUAGCUUUAUAUAAGCCUUAGAAAAUCCUAAAUCAUAACUUAUAAGAAUUUACAUCUCAUAUAGGAUAAAGAUAACCUUCAUAACUAAAAGAGAUAACUUAAACAAAGUCCUAAUUAGGUUAAAAAAACUUGUGUAGCCGCCUAUAAUAAGCCAUAAAACCCUAAUUUACAUAAGUCAUGUAGAUGAGACUCAUAACAUAAGCCAAGUUAGGCCUAGAGUCUUCAUAUGCUCCAAUUUAGCUUCUUUAGUCUUUUUAACCCCAAUUAGAUUCAUUCAAGCCUAAAAAACUGAAUUAGAUUAAUGAGCCUUGAACCAUUGUAAGUGAUAGGGAUGUUAAAUUCUUAAGUCAUUUUUUAGCGUGUGUUAUGGGUAAGUUAGGCACUAAAUUAUUAUUUUAUACUACUUGCCAUUCAUAAACAUGUGGACAAAUCAAAGUUGUUAAUAGAACUUUGGUUCAAUUCCUUUGUUCUUUAAUUUCUAGGAAUUUUAAAUCUUGGCAGGAUCUUUUGCCAUAUGUGGAGUUUUCAUACAAUAGGGUUGUUCAUAGCAUUACACAUUAUUCUCCAUUUGAAAUUGUUUAUGGUUUUAACCCAUUAACUCCUAUUGAUUUAGUUCCUUUGCCUCUUAACAAGCUUGUUAAUGUUGAUGGUUCUUCUAAGGUAGAUUUGGUUAAAAGGAUACAUGAACAAAUUAAAGAGAGGAUUGAGUAGCAAAAUACUAGAGUAAUCGAAAGACUUAACAAAGGAAGAAGGCCAAUGGUGUUCCAACCUAGUGAUUGGAACCAAGGCUUUCACAAGGAAAAGUUCCCAAAUCAAAGAAAGCCAAAGCUAAGUCCAAGGGAUGAUGGACCAUUUCAAGUACUUGAGAGGAUCUACGACAAUGCUUACAAAAUUGAUUUAUAAGGUAAGUAUAAUGUGAGUGGCAGAUUUAAUGUUGCUGAUUUGAGUCCUUCUGAUAUAGGUGAUAAGUUUGAUUCAAGGACGAAUCAUCCGAAAGAAGGAGGGAAUGAUAUAGAUCGGCCAAGGCUUAAACAUGUUGAUUUGGUUGGGCUUGAUGAUAAGGGAAGCAAGAAAGAAUCAAGGAAGGAUCCAUUAAGUUUAUCAUAAGGUCUUAUUAUAAGGUUAAAGGCCAAGAAGCUUCAAAAGCCCUUAAAUAGCUAUAUGCAAGAGUGGGCUAACAAUGGAAGUCCAAUAGAAUAAUGCCCAAAUGAAAUUCAUAAAGAAUGGACUUUGUUUAAUGUUCUUAAAGUCCAAGUUUAUGAAAGAUUUGUUUAGCUCUUAGUAUCCUAUUUGGUUAAAUGUUAAAGUUUCCUAAGUUUGUGAAGAAACUCAUAUUAGAUCAUAUUAGUCAAGUAAGAGUUCUUGAUACGAAUCCUAUAAGCACAAGGAAUCCUACUCCGACUAGAAAUCCUACUCCAACUAGGAAUCCUACUUGAAUUAGGAGUCCUAAUCCCACGAGGAGUCCUACUUGAACUAAGAGUCUUACUUCCACUAGGAAUCUUAGUCUGAUGAGGAGUUCUACUCUAGUUAGAAAUCCUAAUCUAACUAGGAUUAUACACGAACCACUCAAAUAUGAUGGACCAAUUACUAGAGCUGAUAUGAAGAAGUUCAAGGAUGCUUUAGGAAUGUUCCUGAAGCAAGAGUUGAAGCUUAGGUUGGAGAUCUAAAGUCCAAAUGAGAUUGGGCUUAAUUAAGGCAAUUGGCCUCAAGACACUCAUAUAAACUUAAUUCAAUAUAUGGAGGCAUGAACUAGUCAAAAUAGGUCGAAAAUAAAUAAGUCAAGCUAAUACUCAAGAAUUGGUCGCUUAUUACAUGUUACUUAAGCCUAAAUGUCAUGUUUAUUAUAUGGGCUAGGGUUGGACGAAUUUUAGGAGUAUUUUUUCAUUUAAAGAAGUCUUUUAAUAGUUCAAAAUCUUAUUUUAAGUUAUUCUUUUAGUUUAGGUGUGACACCUGUAAAGGAUGUCAAACAUAUAUUGUAUGCAAAGACUGAUAUAUAAUAUAUUUCUUAACUACUAACUUUUAACUUACAAAUUAAUAUGUAUAACAAAAUCUAUUUAUAUGAGUCAUACAUAUCACACACCAAAAAGCUCACAACAUCAAAUAGCACACUUUUUUUUAUAUACACAUAAAAUACUCCAGAUUUAUACAUGAUAAUGAAAUCCACUAGACAUGUCACGUCCAAGAAAGAAAAAUUAAGGUCGACCUCCUGCUGACCUACCUGACACAAUGCUAGUGCAACAGAUGUAAAUGUUCGUCAAAACCAAUUAUAAUUCUUCUAAUCCUGAAAAAGAAAUAAUGCAGAGGAGUGAGCCUACAACUCAGCAAAAGAAUAACAUAAUUUCCUAUGAAAAAAAACACAAUCAAACGUGUAGUAUUAUCAAACAUCAAACCAUUCGAUAUUUAAUUAUGACUUUAUAGUGUGUACAUAAACCUUGUCAUAGUAUUUUCUUUAGGACAACAAUGAACUUGUGAAUUACAUUUAAUUCCAUAAUAAUACAUAUAUAUUUUUAUUUUCAUGGAUCCCCAUACGCACACAGCCAACCAUAAUCUUAUGGGGAAUUCCAUAUCGUACACAGCCUUGCCUCAUUCACAAGUAGCAUUGCGUCUUUACAAUCAUCCAACCAUAAUUCUUAUAUAUAUAUAUAUAUAUAUACACACUACUUAAAUAACUAACAUCUCCAUAAUAUAUAACAAACUAUAAUAAUACCUAUGAUAUACCAAAAAAUACCAUAUUCCAACAUGGCAGAUUUAAUAGUGUGCAUUCAAAAAUACACCAAAAAUUUCACAUUAGGAAUUCCAAAACCAUAUUCUCCAGAUCAGUAAUAAUAUAAGUCUAGAUUAAUUUGAAACUGAUUUUAUAUCAAAUGGAUGUGUAUAGAAAGAGAAACAUUAAAAAAAUUCUACCAUGAUCAAGCUGUCAAUAAAAUUAAGCAACAGAAAGUAUGAUCCAGAUUGGCCAUCAAAACAGCAAAAUCAAGCUUCCUUUAUUUCUAUAACAUUUGUAAAUUACAUUUUAAAUUUUCUAUAGCAAUAAGUAGCACUCCAUUUAGAGUUAUAAAACUCCAAAUAUGGCUAAAUCAAAUAUACUAUUCAACUAUUCACAUUAUAACAGGACACUCGAAUUCACCAUUCAACAUUCAUAUAGAACAUUAAGUUAUUAACUUACCUUUGUUGCUCCCUUUCCUUUGCUUGAGCUUACUUGGGUGUCACCCUCAUUAAAAAUUGGUUUAGCUGAAAUAGAUCAUAAUUCACUUAUUUUUAAACACCCAAAGUUAAUAGAAUUUCAUAUAGCAUGAUAACAUCACUAAACUCUCUACAUAUGUGUGGCUGCCAACUAUGACAGAAUUAAUAGGGUGAAUUUAAAAAUCCACCAAAACUUCUAUACAAUAAAUUUCAUAAUAAAACUUUCCAGAUCACUAACCUUAUAUGUCUAAUAUAAUUUAAAACUAAUUUUAUUUCAAUUGGAGGUGUAUAGAGAAAUAUCUGUACAAAACAAUCCACCUUACUCAGACCAAAGAUGGAAACUGAACAAUAAAAUGUAUUCUCUUAUUAUACUAACAUAGAGCCUGAUUAAGAUCGAGCUAAAAUAAAAAGUUUUAGAUGACUAUUUAAUAUUUCUAUAUCAUUAAAGAACACUUAAUUUAAAGCUUCCUAGCUCAAGAUAUGAUCAAAAUAAUAAGACUGAAAAACUAGGUCUUUAGAACUCGAAUUCUAUGUCUUCUAAACCCUAACUCAAUUCAACAAAAUAUUAAAAUUACUUACCAAAGAAACCUCUAAAGUCUUUGUAGAUAAAGAUUAAGAUAAAAAAAUAGAUUCUAAACCUUCAAAUUCUACUUGAAAAUUCAGUUUUCUUUUUUUGAAGAAGAAGAAGGAGAAAGAAAGAAGAAGAAGAAGAAGGAAGAAGAACUACCACCUUUUCUUUCUUCUUCCCCUUUUCUAUCAUAUUAAUAAUUCUUUUUAGGUUUAAUUAACCCCUUAAUUUUUUGCCAUUAAUCAACUCAAUCCCUUAACUUUCUAACUCUUAUUAUGGACUUAAUUGUAACAUUUAUAAUAUUCUUUUAUUUAACAUUAGCACUAAUACCAUACAUAUCUCAUGCAUUUCUCAUAUCUAUAUGAUAUGCAUGUUAUAAAAAUAAAUGCAAAUGCAUUAGGUGGGCAUUACAUUUUCUUCCCACCUUGAAGAAUUUCAUCCCCGAAAUUAAAGUGACUCACCAUUCUCAGAAAAUAAGUAAGGGUAUUGAACUCUCAUAUCUUUUUCCACUUCCCAUGUAGCUUCUUUUAGUGAAUGUCGACUCCACUUAACCUUUACUAUUGGAAUUUCUUUGUUACGUAACUUCUUUACCUGCCUAUCAAGAAUUCCAACAGGCUCUUUUUUAUAACUUAAAUCUUCAGUUAACUGUAUUUCUGACUCUUGUACUAUAUGGCUAGGAUCAUAUCUAAAUCUUCUUAACAUGGAAACAUGGAAACAUGGAACAUGUCAUGUAUCUGCGAUAAUUCCUGUGGAAGUGCUAACCGAUAAGCUAAGGGACCAACUCUUUCCAAUAUCUCAUAAGGGCCAAUAUACCUCGGACUUAAUUUUCCUUGCUUGCCAAACCGUAUAAUGCCCUUCCAUGGUGACACUCUCAAAAAUACUUUUUCACCCACUUCAAACUCCAUCUCUCUUCUAUGCUUGUCCACAUAACUCUUUUGUCUGUCUUGUGUAGCCUUUAAGCAUUUUUUGACUAUUUGAAUCUUGUCUAUAGUUUCUUGUAUCAAUUCAGGACCUUCUAAUUGUCGUAACCCAUCCAUAUCCCAACAAACAGGACUUCUACAUCUUCUGCCAUAUAGAGCUUCAUAUGGAGCCAUACCGAUACUAGAAUGAUAACUGUUAUUAUAAGCAAAUUCAAUCAAUGGUAAGUGCUUAUCCCAAUUCCCUUUAAAUUCAAGCAUACAAGCUCUUAACAUAUCUUAUAAUGUUUGAAUUGUCCUUUUCGAUUGUCCAUCUGUCUGGGGGUGAAAUGCUGUACUGAAAUGUAAUUUUGUCCCUAAAGCUCUUUACAAACUUCCCCAAAAAUGAGAUGUAAACCGUGGAUCUCUGUCAGACCCAAUUGAUGUUGGCACUCCAUGUAAUCUUACAAUUUUUGACACAUAUAUUCCUGCCAAUUUGUCUAGUGAAUCACUUUGUUGCACAGGUAGAAAAUGAGCUGAUUUCGUAAGUCGAUCAACAAUUACCCAUAUGGCAUCACGCUUCCUGAAGGUUGGAGGCAAUCCCAGAACAAAAUCCAUCGUUAUUUUUUCCCAUUUCCACUCUGGAAUAGACAAUGGAUGAAGCUUACCAGCUGGUGCCUGAUGUUCAGCUUUUACUUAUUGACAUGUCAAACAUUUUGCUACACAUUUAGCUGUAUCUUUCUUCAUUGUAGGCCACCAAUAAAAAGAUCGUAAAUCCCUGUACAUUUUAGUACUUCCCGGAUGCAUUGCGUAUGGUGCAUAAUGGGCUUUAUUUAGAAUUUCUUCUUUCAAUUCUCUUAUAUUUGGAACACAAUACAUCCAUUAAUCAACAACAUCCCAUCGUUUCUCAACGCAAACUGUUCAUUCAUUCCUUGUUGUACUUUAUCCUUCAUUUUUCUUAAAUAUGGAUCACUCAUCUGCCUUUCUUGAAUUUUACUGUCCAAUAAAGGCUUGACAUGCAUACUUACAAGAAUUAUAUCAUCCCAAAGUGCAAUUUCUACAUGCAAUGUUCUAAGCUCUAUUAAUGAUUGUACUGCAUGACAAGUCAUUCAACACUUCUCUCAAUGGUUUUCUUACUCAAAGCAUCAGCAACUUUGUUGGCUUUUCCCGGAUGGUAAUCUAUAGUACAAUCAUAAUCCUUUAACAACUCCAUCCACCUUCUUUGUCUUAAGUUUAACUCUUUUUGUGUUGGGAUAUAUUUCAGACUUUUAUGGUCAGUGAAAAUCUGAAAUGUUUCUCCAUACAAAUAAUGCCUCCAGAUUUUUAGAGCAUGCACAAUUGCUGCCAAUUCUAGAUCAUGAGUCGGAUAAUUCAGUUCAUGACUCCUUAAUUGUCGAGAAGCAUAAGCAAUGACUUUUCCAUUUUGCAUUAACACACACCCCAAUCCCUAUCGUGAUGCAUCUGUAAAUAUUACAUAUUCACCACUUCCUGAUGGUAAGGUUAGAACCGGUGCAGAAAUAAGUCUUUUCUUCAAUUCUUCAAAACUUUUCUCACAUUUAGAAUCCCAUUUAAAUAUGACAUUCUUCUUCAGCAAGUUUGUUAAUGGUUUAGCAAUGAUUGAAAAUCCUUCAACAAAUCUCCUAUAAUAUCCAGCUAAUCCUAAAAAACUUCAUACCUCUGAUACAUUUUUAGGGGAUUCCCACUCCUUUACGGCUGCGAUCUUCGAAGAAUCAGGUUGUAGAUCAUUUUCGGAAAUAAUAUGCCCCAAAAAUGCAAUUUCUUCUAGCCAGAACUCACAUUUAUUAAAUUUUGCAUAAAGCUGCUUUUCUCUCAAAAUUUGCAACACUAUUCUCAAAUGUUCUUCAUGCUGUUCUCGAGUUUCAGAAUAAAUCAAUAUAUCAUCGAUAAACACAAUGACAAAACGAUCUAGAUACCUCUGAAAUAUUUUGUUCAUUAAAGACAUAAAAGCAGCAGGUGCAUUUGUUAGUCCAAAUGGCAUCACAAUAAAUUCAUAAUGCCCAUAUCGUGUUCUAAAUGCAGUCUUUGGUAUGUGUGCCUCUGCAAUUCUCAAUUGCCAAUAUCCAGACCUUAAAUCAAUCUUGGAGAAUACAAUUGCUCCUUUUAACUGGUCUAAUAAGUCAUCAAUCCGUGGCAAAGGAUAUUUGUUCUUUAUGGUAAAACGAUUUAACUGCCUGUAAUCAAUACACAAUCUUAAACUGCCAUCCUUUUUCUUUACAAACAAUACUGGAACUCCCUAGGGUGAUGUACUUGGUCUAAUAAACCCUUUUUCUAAUAAUUCUUCCAGUUUCUUCUUUAAUUCUUUCAACUACAAGGGUGCCAUUCUAUAUGGUGCAGUUGAUAUUGGUGCUCCUCCAGGUAUAGUUUCUACCUCAAAGUCUGUCUCUCGAUGUGGAGGUAAACCCGGUAGUUCUUUUGGAAAUACAUCUGCAAAUUCCUUCACUACUGGAAUAUUCAUUACUCCUGGACUAACUUUGGAUACAUCCACCACAUUAGCCAAAUAAGCUUCACAACACUUUUUGAUUAAAUGGAAAGCAGCAGUAGCCGAAAUUAAACAAGUUGAAACAAUAUUUCUUUCACACACAGAAACUAUUUUUCUCUGUUUUGAGGUCUCAAUAACCACUUCUUUUGUGUGACAAUCUACUAUAGCAUGAUUCUUAGAUAGCCAAUCCAUUCCUAAAAUAACAUCAAAUUCCUUAAGUUUUAUCACUACUAGAUCUGCAUACAGUGUGUUCCCAUUUAUGAUCACAGGACAAGUUUUGACAAUCUUAUCUACAAUUACAGUACCCCUAGCAGGCAUUGAUACACAAAUGUUAUACCCCAAGGUUUCUAUAUCGUUGUGGUUUUUCAAAGCAAAUUCAUAUAAAAUGAAUGAACAUGUUGAUCCUGGAUCAAUUAACGUAUAAGCAUUAAAACCAUAAAUAGAGAUUUUACUAGUCACAAUAUCAGUUGCAGAAGGUGCUUCCUGUCUUGUCACUGCAAACACUCUAGCUUGGGGCACUGAUUGCUAAGGUUGGCCUAUUUGUCCAGCCUAUACCAUGUUAGAACCCCUCGUCCCAUUCCUCUACCUCUUCCUCUACUUACUCCUCCCUGAGUCAUAUUUUCACCUAUGCUGCUCUGUCCUGAAACUUGACUUUCACUAGCUCGAUUUUUACUCCAACAAUCUCUGGCUAUAUGCCCCUGCUUACCACAGUAAAAACAAAGUAUCUGCCUUGGUCCCCAACACUCCCCACUGUGAAACCUAUUACAUCUAGGACAUGGUGAACUAUAUCCUCGACUAACUGAAACACCUCCCUCACCUCUCUUACUCUCUACCCUACUCUGGCUGUAACCACUUCGUCCGCCUCUACCCGAUAUCACUGUAGUAGACUUACUGAUAUUUUCCUGGCUAACCCCUCUCCCAUAAUAUCUACUCCUUUGAGACCCAGAACCUCUAAAAGAAAUGUCUCUUCCUUUCCUUUCUGGACCACCAUAUUCAUUUAUCAUCUUUUUUUUCUUAGCUGUCAUUGCAUCUUUCUCAAUCAAACAUUCUUCAACCCUCAAUGCAGCCUCUAAUAAAGUACUGUAACUUGGUGGCUUCAAGAAAAUCUUUUCCCGAAUAUCCAUUCUCAAUCCUUUUUCAAACCGUCUUUGUUUUGCAUCCUUUGUAGCCACUUCUUCUAACGCAUAUUUUGAUAAUCGAGAGAAUUGCAUUUCAUAUUCUGAUACUGUCAUGUAUCCCUAUGCCAAGCUCAAAAACUCCAUUUUCUUUCGAUCUCUAUACAUUGGUGGUGUGUAUUUAUUUGCAAAUUCCCUAAGGAAGUCAUCCCAAGUUAAGGUCAUAGGUCUAUUUUUACUUCCUAGAAUCAGAUCCCACCAAUCUAAAGCUGAUCUUCUUAACAAAGAUACAACAUAUUUCAACUUUUGCUCUGGUGUGCAAUCUAGCCUGUUCAGCACCCUGUCUGUCUCCCGUAACCAUUCUUCUGCUAUCUCAGGAUCAGUGAUCCCCUCAAAUUUUGUAGCUCCUUGUUUUCUCAGCUUAUCGUAAGUUUUAUCUUUAGCCUCUGUUUCUCUAAUUUCUACCACCGGUUGCAUUAUUGGUUGUUGGAUUGGCUGACUGGCUACCCAAUUAACUAUUAAAAAUAUAAACACUUAUUUUUAAUUUUUACAUUCAUAUGCAUCCCUAACAUGUAUAUGCAUUCAUGCUUUUACAAUUCUAUCCUAAUGAAUUUUAAACCGUGCUCUGAUACCACUAAAUGUGACACAUGUAAAGGAUGUCAGACAUACAUUGUAUGCAAAGAUUGAUACAUAACAUAUUUCUUAACUACUAACUUUUAACUCACAAAUUAAUAUGUACAACAAAAACUAUUUAUGAGUCAUACAUAUCACACACCAAAAAGCUCACAACAUCAAAUAGUACACUUUUUUUUAUAUACACAUAAAAUGCUCCAGAUUUAUACAUGAUAAUGAAAUCCACUAGACAUGUCACGUCCAAGAAAGAAAAACUGAGGGCGACCUCCUGCUGACCUGCCUGACACAAUGCUAGUGCGGCAGAUGUAAAUGUUUCGUCAAAACCAAUUAUAAUUCUCCUAAUCCUAAAAAAGAAAUAAUGCAGAGGAGUGAGCCUGCAACUCAGCAAAAGAAUAACAUAAUUUCCUAUGAAAAACAACACAAUCAAACGUGUAGUAUUAUCAAACAUCAAACAAUUCGAUAUUUAAUUAUGACUUUAUAGUCUGUACAUAAACCUUGUCAUAGUGUUUUCUUUAGGACAAUAAUGAACUUGUGAAUUACAUUUAAUUCCAUAAUAAUAUAUAUAUAUUUUUAUUUUCAUGGAUCCCUAUACGCACACAGCCAACCAUAAUCUUAUGGGGAAUUCCAUAUCGCACACAGCCUUGCCUCAUUCACAAGUAGCAUUGCGUCCUUACAAUCAUCCAACCAUAAUUCUUAUAUAUAUAUACAUAUACUAUUUAAAUAACUAACAUCUCCAUAAUAUAUAAGAAACCAUAAUAAUACCUAUGAUAUACCAAAAACAUACCAUAUUCCGACAUGGCAGAUUUAAUAGUGUGCAUUCAAAAAUACACCACAAAUUCCACAUUAGGACUUCCAAAACUAUAUUCUUCAGAUCAGUAAUACUAUAAGUCUAGAUUAAUUUAAAACUGAUUUUACAUCAAAUGGAUGCGUAUAGAAAGAGAAACAUCAAAAACAUUCUACCAUGGUCAAUCUGUCAAUAAAAUUAAGCAACAGAAAGUAUGAUCCAGAUUGGCCAUCAAAACAGCAAAAUCAAUUUUCAUCUAUUUCUAUAACAUUUGUAAAUUACAUUUCAAAUUUUCUAUAGUAAUAAGUAGCACUCCAUUGGGAGUUAUAAAGCUCCAGAUAUGGCUAAAUCAAAUAUACUGUUCAUAUUAUAACAGGACACUCGAAUUCACCAUUCAACAUUCAUAUAGAACAUUAAGUUAUUCACUUACCUUUGUUGCUCCCUUCCCUUUGCUUGAGCUUACUUGGGUGUCACCCUCAUUCCAAAUUGGUUUAGCUGAAAUAGAUCAUAAUUCACUUAUUUUUAAACACCCAAAGUUAAUAGAAUUUCAUAUAGCAUGAUAACAUCACUAAACUCUUUACAUAUGUGUGGCAGCCAACUAUAAUAGAAUUAAUAAGGUGAAUUUAAAAAUCCACCAAAACUUUUAUACAACAAAUUUCAUAAUAAAACUUUUCAGAUCACUAACCUUAUGUGUCUAAUAUAAUUUAAAACUGAUUUUGUUUCAAUUGGAGGUGUAUAGAGAAAUAUCCGUACAAAACAAUCCACCUUACUCAGACCAAAGAUGGAAACUGAACAAUAAAAUGUAUUCUCUUAUUAUACUAACAUAGAGCCUGAUUUAGAUCAAGCUAAAGAAAUAAAAGUUUUAGAUGACUCUUUAAAGUUUCCAUAUCAUUAAAGAACACUCAAUUUUAAGCUUUCUAGCUCAAGAUAUGAUCAAACAAAUAAGACUGAAAAACUAGGUCUUUAGAACUCGAAUUCUAUGUCUUCUAAACCCUAACUCAAUUCAACAAAAUAUUAAAAUUACUUACCAAAUAAACCUCUAAAGCCUUUGUAGAUGAAUAUUAAGAUAAAAAAGGAUUCUAAACCUCCAAAUUCCACUUGAAAAUUCAGUUUUCUUUUUUUGAAGAAGAAGAAGAAGAAAGAAAGAAGNNNAGGUUAGUGCAGGUUUAGGAAUCCAGUAAGCUCGAGAGAGGAGCCGGGAUUCAAUUCAGGAUUUAGGCACGGGUAAGCAAGAUCGACAAUCCAUAAAAUUCAUCUUUAGAAUUCCAUCACUUAGGCUCCCUUUUAGAUUUAUUUCUCUCUUUACAAUUGUCUUUUAAUUGUCCAUUGUUGUCCUUCAUUUACUUAAUUGCACUCAUAACCAUUAGCUGGUAUGUUAGAACUUUCACACCCUAUUUCAGACUAGAUAACAUAGCAAGCAGUAGUAACUCUAGGUUCACCCGAUCUCCAGGGAUACGACCUUGAUACUCACUAGUGCUAGGCUGCAUCGGUAGGUUCACUGCCUUAGGUGUAGGUUGCAUAAAGAGCCCAUCAGCUACCCAAUUAACUAUUUGCUGCAACAACUCAAGAAAUUGUUGCAUUACCAGUGGUAAUUCCUGAGCUGGUUGUUGUGGUGCAUUUAUAUACUCAACUCCAUGCAUAGACUCAGACUCACUUAGGUCAGCAGGAUUCUCGGUCGGCCCCUCUCUACUCAUCCUAUUAAAAAUAUAAACACUUAUUUUUAAUUCUUACAUUCAUAUGCAUCCCUAACAUGUAUAUGCAUUCAUGCUUUUAAAUGCUUUUACAAUUCUAUCCUAAUGAAUUUUAAACCGUGCUCUGAUACCACUAAAUGUGACACAUGUAAAGGAUGUCAGACAUACAUUGUAUGCAAAGAUUGAUACAUAACAUAUUUCUUAACUACUAACUUUUAACUCACAAAUUAAUAUGUAUAACAAAAACUAUUUAUAUGAGUCAUACAUAUCACACACCAAAAAGCUCACAAAAUCAAAUAGUACACUUUUUUUUAUAUACACAUAAAAUGCUCCAGAUUUAUACAUGAUAAUGAAAUCCACUAGACAUGUCAUGUCCAAGAAAGAAAAACUAAAGGCGACCUCCUGCUGACCUACCUGACACAAUGCUAGUGCGGCAGAUGUAAAUGUUUCGUCAAAACCAAUUAUAAUUCUUCUAAUCCUGAAAAAGAAAUAAUGCAGAGGAGUGAGCCUGCAACUCAGCAAAAGAAUAACAUAAUUUCCUAUGAAAAACAACAUAAUCAAACGUGUAGUAUUAUCAAACAUCAAACCAUUCGAUAUUUAAUUAUGACUUUAUAGUGUGUACAUAAACCUUGUCAUAGUAUUUCUUUAGGACAUCAAUGAACUUGUGAAUUACAUUUAAUUCCAUAAUAAUAUAUAUAUAUUUUUAUUUUCAUGGAUCCCCAUACGCACACAGCCAACCAUAAUCUUAUGGGGAAUUCCAUAUCGCACACAGCCUUGCCUCAUUUACAAGUAGCAUUGUGUCCUUACAAUCAUCCAACCAUAAUUCUUAUAUAUAUAUAAAUAUACCAUUUAAAUAACUAACAUCUCCAUAAUAUAUAAGAAACCAUAAUAAUACCUAUGAUAUACCAAAAACAUACCAUAUUCCGACAUGGCAGAUUUAAUAGUGUGCAUUCACAAAUACACCAAAACUUCCACAUUAGGACUUCCAAAACUAUAUUCUCCAGAUCAGUAAUACUAUAAGUCUAGAUUAAUUUAAAACUGAUUUUACAUCAAAUGGAUGUGUAUAGAAAGAGAAACAUCAAAAACAUUCUACCAUGGUCAAGCUAUCAAUAAAAUUAAGCAACAGAAAGUAUGAUCCAGAUUGGCCAUCAAAACAGCAAAAUCAAGUUUCCUCUAUUUCUAUAACAUUUGUAAAUUACAUUUCAAAUUUUCUAUAGCAAUAAGUAGCACUCCAUUGGGAGUUAUAAAGCUCCAGAUAUGGCUAAAUCAAAUAUACUGUUCAUAUUAUAACAGGACACUCGAAUUCACCAUUCAAUAUUCAUAUAGAACAUUAAGUUAUUCACUUACCUUUGUUGCUCCCUUCCCUUUGCUUGAGCUUACUUGGGUGUCACCCUCAUUCCAAAUUGGUUUAGGUUAAAUAGAUCAUAAUUCACUUAUUUUUAAACACCCAAAGUUAAUAGAAUUUCAUAUAGCAUGAUAACAUCACUAGACUCUCUACAUAUGUGUGGCAGCCAACUAUGACAGAAUUAAUAGGGUGAAUUUAAAAAUCCACCAAAACCUUUAUACAACAAAUUUCAUAAUAAAACUUUUUAGAUCACUAACCUUAUGUGUCUAAUAUAAUUUAAAACUGAUUUUGUUUCAAUUGGAGGUGUAUAGAGAAAUAUCCAUACAAAACAAUCCACCUUACUCAGACCAAAGAUGGAAACUGAACAAUAAAAUGUAUUCUCUUAUUAUACUAACGUAGAGCCUGAUUCAGAUCGAGCUAAAGAAAUAAAAAUUUUUAGAUGACUCUUUAAAGUUUCUAUAUCAUUAAAGAACACUCAAUUUAAAGCUUCCUAGCUCAAGAUAUGAUAAAAAAAAUAAGACUGAAAAACUAGGUCUUUAGAACUCGAAUUCUAUGUCUUCUAAACCCUAACUCAAUUCAAUAAAAUAUUAAAAUUACUUACCAAAUAAACCUCUAAAGCCUUUGUAGAUGAACAUUAAGAUAAAAAAUGGAUUCUAAACCUCCAAAUUCCACUUGAAAAUUCAGUUUUCUUUUUUUGAAGAAGAAGAAGAAGAAAGAAAGAAGAAGAAGAAGGAAGAAGAACUACUACCUUUUCUUUCUUCUUCCCCUUUUCUAUCAUAUUAAUAAUUUUUUUUAGGUUCAAUUAACCCCUUCAUUUUUUGCCAUUAAUCAACUCAAUUCCUUAACUUUCUAAUUCUUAUUAUGUACUUAAUUGUAACAUUUAUAAUAUUCUUUUAUUUAACAUUAGCACUAAUACUAUACAUAUCUCAUACAUUUCUCAUAUCUAUAUGAUAUGCAUGUUAUAAACUAAAUGCAAAUGCAUUAGGUGGGCAUUACAUUAGGAGUUCUAUUCUUAGUUGUUAUUGUUAUUGGCUUCCUUAUUAUUAUAGAAUUAGGUUUUUCUAAGGCCUAUAUAAGCUAGUACGAAUUUCUAUGUAAAGUUUGGUUGAAUAUUGUUUAUUUUAGAGUUAAUUAUCUUAUUUUGUUUGUUAUAAACCUGGUGAAUUUGUGAAUUUAUCAAGUGAAUGCUUGAUAUUUUACAAAUUUAGUUUAAUCUAAACUUUUAUUUAUUUUAAACCGCCUUUAAUUCUUUAUAAUUAAGGUUCUUAAGUACAAGUUAUUUAAGGGUCUGGUUGGGAGUUAUAGUUUCUUUGCUUAAUUAGGUGAACGAUCCUUAGUAAAGACAUCAAUAUUGAAUAUAGGUUAGGCAUAAGUUAGCCAUUUUUAUAUCAAUUCUAUUCUUCUUAGGACUUUAGAAAUGUCUUUAAAACAUAUCAAAUUGGUAUGCCAUUUUUCAAAUUAUGAUCAAUUAAAUUUUUUACUUUUUUUCAAGCAAAAAUUGCUUGUAUCUUAUGUUCUUGUUUGAAUGCAAAACUUACUUAUCAAGGAGUUGAUCUAUCCUUGUGUUAUACUUGGAAUUGGGGUUUAAGGAACUUAACUUUCCUUAGCUUCUAAUUCUUGAUCAUCUUACAUGUUGAUUAGAUGGUCCUAGGGUUUAAUUUCAAGUUGCUCUUUGGAUUUUCAAGUUAGUGAUUCACAGAUUUAUAAGGAUUAGAGUUCUUGGAGGUUCUUUAACUUUUGGUAUCAGAGCUUUUAGCUCUUGAAUCAGGUUACUUAUCCUUCUUUAAUGUUAUUUCAUUGUGUUUUUUAAGUUUCCAAGUGGUUUUAUUCGUUUCUUGAUAACAAUCUUGAUUGCCGCUUCCACGCGCUUUCUCUCAAUAGUGGUGUUUAUGCUCUCCAAAUAAAACCAAACCAUCAUACUAGACAAAAAGGAGUUGACUUGUUAACAACUCUCGUAGUCCUAAAUUUAAUGAGCCAGAAUAAUAAAAACAAGGAAAAAUUCAUGUGGGCAACACUUAAUUAAACCCCGGCCCAAAUUAUAUAAUUAUAUGCAUCCCAAACACUAAAACGCGUGCAUUCCCUAUUAGAUUAAUCUAAAACAAUAUUAUUUCUCCUUUAAGCAUGUAGAUUUGUGUCUCAUCCUGCUAGAUCAUCACACCACACCCUAUUUAUUUACUAUUUAGAUAUCCCAAGUUUUUAUUUAGUGUAUUAAUACAAUCAUAUCAUAGUGAAACGAAGUCAACAUACUAUUUAAGCAUAUAAAAGAUCAUAAAGUUUUUAUUCAUAUAAUACAUGUGAAGUACAUUUACAAAUAUAACACAAAACAUAUGUCUUUAUCAUGUGGAUGCUUAUGAUACAAGGAGAGAGAGAGAGUAAGGAUUCGGCCGGUGACCUUUGCUUUAUACUUUAUUUAUAAUGCUAUAUGCUUCAAAUAGUCACACCUCAAGCUUCAUUAUCUCGGAAAAAUAAUUGCAAUUUGGUGAGUGAUGACUCAAUGAAUAUUUAUAUAAAUAUCAAUUAAAUUCUAAAGGCACAAAAACAAACAAUUGAUGUCAAAUGAAUACAAAAAUAUGAUUCAUUCAAAUGCAAGUGCUAAUAUAUUGUUCAUUUAUUUUUUUGUUGUGGCCUGGGAAGACAAAUAUUGCUCCCGGGAUUCAUGUGAAACAAUUGCCAUUUGAUUUUGCUGGACUGCAUAUAACAUGUGAAUCAUGUGAUUUCCUUUGAUCAUUUGCAUUUUCCAUAUGAUUUUGCAAAUAUUUGCCAAGCCGGUCACAACAUCCUUUUAUAUCCGUAUGCAAGUGCUCAAAUGUAGAAUUUGCAUUGAACUUAUAAACACUUGUAUAUAAACAUAACCAUCAAUAAACAAACUACAUACAUUUAAAUAAUCAAAAAAAUUCACCUCAAUCACAUAAUUUCACCAUAUGUUCACACUAAUCUCAAUCACACAAUUUCACCUAAGAAGUCGAUCAAUAUUUAUACUCACUUUUUAGAUAUUAAUUACGUUAUGGACAACCUGUAUUUCCUUCUCGAACUUCAUGGAUGCCUUGAGAUCCUAAAAUAUAACAUAUAUUUGGUAAAAAACAUACCUACAAUAGUGUUUACACUUGGUAUAUGAUUAGUAUAUUUUCAGGAUAUGCUAUUUAUAUGUGUAAGCUUAACAUUUAUGCACAAUUCUUUCCUAUUUGACAGCUUAACCUUGCUAGACCUGAGAGUAAGUAACUUUCACCACACAAUUCUAAAUUAGUUGACUCCAUUUUUUUAUAAAACUAGACACACAAGACUAUAACAUAUCCAAAAGUUAUCACAAUAUAAGCUCUUCAUAAUUAAUGGUGAAUUUUUGAAUCCAAAUCUAUGCUCUGCACAAAAACAUUUUGAGCAAGUCUCAUUUAGUUUAGAACUUCUCAAGUUACACAAGUCCAAUUGAAAAAUCCUAUUCUAAAAACUUCAAUAACAUAUAAAGGAACAACUUUCAUGUUUUAAACUUCAUCUAGUUUAGCCUCUAAAGUCCUCAUAGUAUUUGGGAAACACCAUACUGCCUGCAGACAAAGCAAACAGAACCAACCUCACUCCAAGGGCGAUUUCUCAUUACACACAUAUUAUUUCAUUAAACUGCAUCAGAUGGUUUUAGAUAACAUAAAAAGGAACAAAACUCAUGGUUAACAAUUUGUCUAAUUCAGCCCCUAAAGGUCUCAUAUUUUAUUAAAUAAAGGAAAAUCCCAUGUAGUAGAUACAAUUUAACCAGUCCCAAUCAAAGAAGAAUUUCUCAUCACACACAGCAAAUAUCGUGAAAAAAUUUUAUUGGCAUGAAGAUGAGACAUAAAUUUACAAGUUUCAUGUUUUAUGUUUCUCCUAAUUCUUCUUCUACGGCUAUGAAAACAGGGGUACAAAAUUCUUCUCUGAAAUAGAAUUUAAGGACUAUGAAAUCACUUCACACCAUAAUCAUAUAAUUGCAAUUAUAAUAUAGAAUAAAAAUAAGUAACUUGCCCAAAUCAAUAGUGAAAUUAACAAGAUUUAGGUUUAGGAAUUUGAGAGAAGAAAGGAAAGAAAUUAGAUAUCGAUUUUUUUUUAUACCAGAGUUAUAGCUUAAUGAGGAGAUAAACUAGAGUUUUCUAGUUUUUUUUCACAAGAUAAGGACACUCCCAUACACAUCCACUACCUCCAUAUACAUCCUUUAUCUUAUAUUUAUUAUUAUUAUUAUUAUUAUUAUUAUUAUUAUUAUUAUUAUUAUUAUUAUCAUUAUCAUCAAUCUUUUUGUUAUAUUUUAAUCAAUUAUCAAAUAGAAGUCUAAAUCAAUCUAUAUAAAUAAGUCAACUAGAUUCAAUUUCUUACAUAUUUAUUUAUUGACUCAAAUUUCAAUUUUAUAAUUCCUCAAAUACAUCCUAUAUUACACAUGCUAAAAUAUUCCAUUGCAAUGCACUUUGACAAAUACAAAACAAAUAAAAGAUGUGGAAUUCACAUAAUGAAAUGGAAUAAUUUGAGAUGCAUAUGUUUAAGUUAUUUUAUGCAAUACAUGCAAAUUUAAAUGAAAUGCUUGUGGUUAAAGUCAAUGAGGUUACAUUCAAUACCUGCGAAUAAAUAGGGAUAUUUUCGCUUCAUAUUCUCCUCAGUUUCCCAAAUAGCUUCUUCCUAUGAAUGGUUCCUCCACAACACUUUACUCAAGAAAAUUUCUUGAUUCCGUAACUGUGUUGUCUUAUAACCAAUGAUCUUUACCGGUUCUUCAACAUAAUUCAAAUUAUCGGUAAUUUCCACUUCUUGAUCAGAUCGAUAUCUUCUAAGCAUUGGUCGCUUAUUACAUGAUCAAUUAAAUUGUUUUAUGUUUCUCCUAAUUCUUCUUCUACGGCUAUGAAAAUAGGGGUACAAAAUUCUGCUCUGAAAUAGAAUUUAAGGACUAUGAAAUCACUUCACACCAUUAUCAUAUAAUUACAAUUAUAAUAUAGAAUAAAAAUAAGUAACUUGCCCAAAUCAAUAGUGAAAUUAACAAGAUUUAGGUUUAGAAAUUUGAGAGAAGAAAGGAAAGAAAUUAGAUAUAGAUAUUUUUUUUGAUACUGGAGUUAUAGCUUAAUGAGGAGAUAAACUAGAGUUUUCUAGUUUUUUUUCACAAGAUAAGGACACUCCCAUACACAUCCACUACCUCCAUAUACAUCCUUUAUCUUAUAUUUAUUAUUAUUAUUAUUAUUAUUAUUAUUAUUAUUAUCAUUAUCAUCAAUCUUUUUGUUAUAUUUUAAUCAAUUAUCAAAUAGAAGUCCAAAUCAAUCUAUAUAAAUAAGUCAACUAGAUUCAAUUUCUUACAUAUUUAUUUAUUGACUCAAAUUUCAAUUUUAUAAUACCUCAAAUACAUCCUAUAUUACACAUACUAAAAUAUGCCACUACAAUGCACUUUGACAAAUACAAAACAAAUGAAAGAUGUGGAAUUCACAUAAUGAAAUGGAAUGAUUUGAGAUGCAUAUGUUUAAGUUAUUUUAUGCAAUACAUGCAAAUUUAAAUGAAAUGCUUGUGGUUAAAGUCAAUGAAGUUACAUUCAAUACCUGCGAAUAAAUAGGGAUAUUGUCGCUUCAUAUUCUCCUCAGUUUCCCAAAUAGCUUCUUCCUAUGAAUGGUUCCUCCACAACACUUUACUCAAGAAAAUUUCUUGGUUCCGUAACUGUGUUGUCUUAUAACCAAUGAUCUUUACUGGUUCUUCAACAUAAUUCAAAUUAUCGGCAAUUUCCACUUCUUGAUUUUUAAGUAUAUAUGUAGGAUCAGAUCGAUAUCUUCUAAGCAUACUCACGUGAAACACAUCAUGGAUCUGGGCCAAUUCUAGUGGUAGUGCUAACCUAUAAGCUAAUGGACCAAUUAUUUCAAGAAUUUCAUAUGGCCCUAUAUAUUGAGGACUCGACUUGCCUUUUUUGCCAAAUAUGUUUGCUCCUUUCCAUGGUGAAACUCAAAGAAACACUUUAUCACCCACUUAAUAUUCCAUUUCUCUCCUAUGCUGGUCUGCAUAGCUUUUUUUGUCUAUCUUAUGCUGCUUUGAGUCUACUUCUGAUUAGUUUUACUUUAUCCACUAUAUCUUACACUAUUUUAGGGUCUUCUAAUAGACGCAUACCUUCUUCAUUCUAAGAAAUAGGACUAUGACACUUUCUUCCAUAUAAUGCCUCGUAUGGUGCCAUUUUGAUACUGUUGUGGUACUGAUUGUAAAUCGUGGAUCCCUGUUUGAUACAAUGGACACUGGAACUCCAUGCCAUCUAAAAAUUUCAUUCACAUAUUGUUUGGCUAAAAAUUCAAGUGAACUACUCUAUUUGAUAGGCAAAAAGUGAGCUGACUUAGAUAAUCGAUCACUGAUCACCCAUAUAGCAUCAUUCUUUCUUGGAGUUUUUGGUAAUCCAUAUACAAAAUCCAUCGUUAUUCUUUCCCAUUUCCAUACCGGAAUUGACAAAGCUAUCAACUUUCCAACUGGAGCUUGGUUUUCUGCUUUAACUUGUUGACAUGUUAAACAUUUUGAAACAUACUCUGCCACAUCUUUCUUCAUUUUAGGCCACCAAUAAUGGGGUCGUAAGGUGUUGUACAUUUUGGUCAUCCCUAGGUGCAUAGCAUAUGGAGCAUUAUGUGCCUCCUCCAAAAUUUCUCGGCGUAGGUUAUCAACAUCAGGUACAUAAAUACGAGAUCCUAUCAUCAAGGUAUCAUUCUGAACAUUAAACUCUUUAUUUUCCCCUUGCUUCACUUUGUCAAUCUUUUCUUGUAAUUGUGGAUCCUUGCUCUGUUCUUCCUUAAUUCUGUUAUGCAAUAUUGGUCUAACUUGCAAAGUAGCAAUCAACACUCCAUUUUCUUGUAAAUUUAAUUUGACAUUCAUAGCUCGCAACUGAACCGAAGAAGAGAAUGGAAAUACUUGUAAAUAAGCUACACUGCUUCUUGUCUUCCUACUUAAAGCAUCAGCUACUACAUUUGCUUUUCCUGGAUGAUACUCAAUUGUGCAGUCAUAAUCCUUCAACAAUUCUUUUGUCUCAUAUUUAACUCUCUUUGGCUCAAUAAGUACCUCAGACUCUUGUGAUUAGUAAAUAUUUGAAAUAUUUCUCCAUAUAAAUAAUGUCGUCAUAUUUUCAAAGCGAACACAAUAACAUCAAGUUCUAGAUCAUGUAUUGGAUAAGAUAACUCAUAUGGCCUUAGCUGUCUAGAUGCAUAUGCAAUCACCUACCAUGUUGCAUUAAUACACAUCCCAAACCCUGAUGAGAAGCAUCACUAUAAACUACAAAUCCUCCAUUACCUGUAGGAAUUGUUAACACUGGAGUGUUGUCAACUUGGUUUUCAAUUCAUUGAAACUCUUCUAACAUGCUUCAGACUAUUCAAAUACAACAUUUUUUUGAAUUAACUUUGUCAAAGGGCUGACUAUCAGUGAAAAUGCCUCAACAAACUGGCGAUAAUACCCAGCUAAUCUUAAGAAACUUCAAACUUCUACAACAUUCUGUCACUACUGCUUCUAUUUUCUUUGGAUCCACUUCUAUGCCCUGUCUAAAAAUAACAUGUCCCAAAAAUACUACCUCAUCUACCCAAAACUCACAUUUACUCAAUUUAGCAUACAAUUGUUUCUCUCUCAAGGUUUGUAACACAAUUCUUAAGUGAUGUUCAUGUUCCUCCCUACUUCUUGAAUAGACAAGUAUGUCAUCAAUGAACAAAAUCACAAAUUUUUCUAAGUAGCACUGUAACACUUGCUCAUGAGAGCUAUAAAUGCAAUUGGUGCAUUAGUUAAACCAAACGGCAUCACUAAAAAUUCAUAGUGCCCGUACUUGGUUCGAAAAGCAGUCUUUGGUACGUCUGGGUCUGAAAUUUUAAGCUGAUAGUAGCCUGAUUUCAAAUCAAUCUUGGAAAACACUUGAGGUCCCUACAAUUGACCGAACAAAUCAUCUAUUCUGGGCAAAGAAUAUUUGUUCUUCACAGUGACCUGAUUUAACUGCCUAUAAUCGAUACACAACCUCAUUGUCCUAUCUUUCUUUUUCACAAAUAGCACUAGGGCACCCCAAGGUGACACACUGGGCCUAAUGAACCCCCUGUCAAAUAGUUCCUGCAACUGAGUUUUCAAUUCUUUCAAUUCAACUCGUGCCAUCCUAUAAAGUGAAAUAGUUAUUGGUGCUACUCUUGGUACUAGUUCAAUUAUGAAUUCCACUUCUCUAAUAGGUGGCACACCCGGUAAAUCAUCUGGAAACAUAUUUGGAUACUCAUUUACCACUAGGAUAUUUUCAAUUGUAUUAUUUGUAGUUCUAGUAUCUAUCACAUGUGCUAGAUAAGCUUCGAAACUGCUUUUAACCAUUCGGAGAGCCUUUACAGCAUAAACUAAACAUGCAGGCACAAUUUGUCUUUCCUCUAGAAACAUAACCCUCAGUUGAUUUGGAGAUUCUAAAAUAACCUCCUUGGUAAAACAAUUCAUUAUGGCAUGAUGUUUGGCCAACCAAUCCACUCGGGACGAUGGCAAAGCCACAUUUAGGCGAACUCGCUUACAAAAAGGGAAAGCUGUACUACCACCAUCGGAAGCCGAAUUGACUAGGUUUUUGAAAUUCACUACCAAAGCCCGAAAGGACAGGUAUGCAGAUUUAUGAACGCGAGCGAUUAACCCAGGUAAGUAUGUCGAUACUUAUUCUCUAGAAAAACUAGAUAUAAAGGAAGAUUUCGAUGCUAUGAUAACUAGUCUGUGGUGGAAAACCUUAGUGACUAUUAGAUACCCCACAUUUGUUGAGUUGAUUAGAGAAUUCUACAAAACCUUUCAGUUUGAAAUACCCAAGAAUUUCACAUUUGAUAGUCCUGGAGUUGUGUGAUAUCGACUCCUAGGCAAUGAAUUUAAGCAAUCAAUCACUGAAUUCAAUUUGGCCCUAGGAUUUGUUGACACUGAAUUUUCUCUAAUCAAUCAAUACAAGAGCUCUGCUAUAGAUUUUGUUGAUAAUCUUGAUCAGGCAAAGCUCUGGAAGACCAUGUCUUCUGACCCCAUGCAUUACGAUCCUAGCAACUCUAAAGGUGUGUAUCUUAAUAAAUCUGAAUGGGUUUACAUGCAAUGAUUUUUAGCAUUCAGCUUCUCUAGUAGAAAAGACACAGCAAAUGUAUGUACAAAAGCUUAACUUUAUUUUAUUUGGUCCAUGUUGCAUGAAAACACAAUCAAUUUGGGUGUUUGGUUGGUUUGCAAUUCAAAUUUGUGUUGACUCGUAAAAAGCAUUUAUGUUUAGGCUUUUUAAUUACUCAUUUGGCUGUUCGCCUUCGAUUACUCGAUCUCGAUAAUACUAACUUACAUAUUGCUUGUGAGAUGGAACCAUUGGACAUUGCCUAUUUAAUGAAGAUGCACGUGCUUGUGGAGAAUAAUGGGUUGUACUCUUUCUAAAAGCCUUCUCUGCACGGCCAAGGCGACCACCCAAGAUCUAGGAAACGAUCUUGCCCAACAAGCAAUCUUUGUGAUCCAGAGGACUCAACUAAACCAGAUUUUAAAGCUCGUUUGGAAAAGAUGGAAUGAAAAAUUUCAAAGAUGGAGAGAAAUUUAGACGCCUUGAUGAAACACUGGGGAGUUCUACCCCCUUGGCCACCGAUACCAUGGACUACUCAAUUUAAGUGGCUCAUAAAACAGAGGAGAAUCACAUCUCUUUUCAUUUAUUUUAAGAGCCAAUUUCUUUUUGAUACAUCGAGGACAAUGUAUAGUAGAGGUGUGGGGAGGAUAAUUACAUGAUUUCUUUUUAAAAAUAUCUUUUUAUGCUUAUAAUUAUGUAUGCUUUAAUUCAUAUGUGCUACUUUUUCUUUUGCAACCUUGAGUUUUAUUUUGAUAACCUAGAAUACCAUGUAAGUUAGAAAUACAUUUGUGGUUUGAAUUUUAAUGCAUGAAAGGGAUAAGCAUGAUUAGUGUUUCUUUAAAAUUAUCUGAUGGUAUCUCAUUAGUUUAUUGAUCGAAAAAUGCAGAAGACUUGAUACAAAUUUGAACAUUCAAGUGAACUUUUGAGCCUAAGAAUAGUUUAUUAUAUUUUACUCUAAUUGUUUUUUAUGAGUGUUAUCAAACUAGUAUGAUUAUUCUAUAACUUGCUUCUGAAUGCAUGUUGAGAACACAUCCUUGGAUUGAUGCUUUAAUAUGAAAAGGGCAACUAGGAUUAACCUAUUCUUAGACUCUUAAAAUACCUACCCUGUUGAUUUCCCUUUUAGUUAGCCACUUUGAGCCUAUUUUCCAUUUUUUUAACACUUGUUGUUUAACCCAAGACCUUUCAUUUGCUACCUCUAUUUUUUUACCCUUGUCAAGACAAGAAGGGAAGUGUUGCAUGGUACAAAUGAAACACAAAGAAAAGAGACAAAAAAAAUAGAAGAAAAAGAGAAGGGGAAAGAAAAGGAAAAGAGAAAAAGAAAGUUGAUAUCUAUUCCUUUCAUGAAAGAGGAGAAUUGAAGAAGUAUUUAUCAAAUAUACUGAAUUAAAUUGUUACUCUUCACAAGUUCUUAGUAUUCAUAUAAAAUGUGAGAAUAAACAUCAAAUUUUAAAAUUUUUUGUAGUAUGUUUCAUGGCGAUGUGGCAUAAGUUAUCAUGCAAGAAUCUAACCUUUUUGUCUUGAUAAGGAAACAUUUUAGUUCUUUCUUUUAUCACACCCUUUCCUAAACCCAGUUACAACCCUCGUGAAGUCCCUUUGAUUUUUGCGUCUAAUUCAUAUGUAGUGGUGGAGACUUGAUUCAUUAGCAACCUUAUGGUAAUAACAUGCUAUGUUUUGAUCCUGAGAGCAAAUGUACCCUAAACACUUUGAUGAAUUAUUGAGAUGCCUGUUCUUUUUACAAAAUUUAUCCUAUAAGUUCUAAUCUCUUGAUUGUCAUUAUUACUCAGCUCAUUGAUGUAUGUUUAACUUAUUUGAUAUUUGAGGAGAUUAAAAGAGAUAAAAGGAAGGUUAAAAGGAGAAUUGGUAUGUUGAAUUGAGGUAUGCUUGAGGACAAGCAUAAAUUAGGUGUGGAGGAAUUUGAUAGGUCAUAAAUAGUUAUACUUAUUGUGUUUAAUUCCCUUAUAAUUUGAUUGAAUAAUGUACUUAAUUAUGUAAAUUCUGUUUAUUCUGACUUAGGUGAUGAAAUAUCAAGGAUUGAGCAAAAUUCAGCCUAAAGACAUAUUUUAAGUCAUCACUUGUUAAAAACCAAGUCUUUCGGAGGAAAUGCAGAAAUCUGUACAGAAGAUCAUUGUCGAUAAGGCGUGACCACGCCUUACAACUCAUGAGCUCCGCAGAAAUCUGUACAGAAGACCAUUGUCGAUAAGGGGUGACCAUGCCUUACAACCCAUGAGCUCAGCAGAAAUCUGUACAGAAGACCAUUGUUGAUAAGGCAUGACCACGCCUUGCAACCCAUGAGCUGCUGAAACUUGCAAAAGAGAGCUUCAAAUUUUUCAGAGAUAAAUUUGUGGUGGACCCAUCUUUAGUUACUUUUCUUUAUUUUUAGAAGUGUUGGAUAAAGAGAACUUUCUCCUAUGUAUUUAGGAUUUUAAUUUGUUUAGAUUACUCUUUAUCUUAUCCUUCCUUCUGGGGAUAAGAUCAUAUAAGAAGCUUAUUUUUUUUUUAUAAGGAUUCUCUUAUUAGGGUUUAGGGUUUUACUUCCUAUAUAAGGACGGCUGGAAGUACUUUUAAUUAUUCUUAUUAUUCUUCUUCUUCUAUUCGCUACAAUUAUUUUCUUGUGAAUUCUUACUCUACCAUGUGUGGCUAAGUUUCUAGUUUCUAAUUCAAGAGUGAAUAAAUUCCAAUUGUGAUUUUGUGAGGCUUUGUGCUUAACAGAAUUCUUCUUUAAUUCAAGUAUUCUUUAUUUCUUGUUUUUAUUAUUUAUGAAUUAUUGAUAUUGAUUGAACUGACGACUCAACUUUGAUAUUGAUUUUUCUAUUGCUGAACUUUGAGUUUAUGAUUCGUAAUUAUCAUGAACGAUUGACACAAGUAGCAAGGAGCUGGCUCAUGUGUGUGCGAUUGCGGCUUAUUCGAAUUACAUAGCUUGCAUGAUAGGCUCUAGGGAAAUAAAGGAACAAGGUUAAUUCAAUUGCAGUUAUCUCAAUUAAUUAAUGUUGGUUUAGUCAUUCUCAUUAUUUUUAAUGCUAUCAUUAAGUUGAUAUGGAAAGCUAUCGUGCCCAGUUGACUAAUGGUAAGUUUUGAAUUGGAUGUUGGGUUUGAGUCAAUUAUAUUAGGAGAAUUACACCUGUUGCGGCUUUUUCGAAUAAGUAGACUAAGUAUUUGAAUAGAAGAAUUGAUAUUUUAGCCUAUGAUCAUGAUUAGAAUUGGAUGGAAUUAGCACUCUUGAAUUGGGAAUUUGUUAAGAUUGAUUUUUAUUUACUUUAAUAUUCAACCUUUAUCAUUUUCUAUUUAUUCAUAAUUUUGAUUCAAACAUUCAAAAUCCCCCUAUUUUUAUUUUACCUUGAGAAGCUAUCCACAUUGGUUCCCUUGGGAUUCGACUUGGUUUCACUAUUUUUACGAGUUAGUUUAGAAAAAUCAGUAAUUUAUUUUGAAGAGCUUCGACAACCUGUUCACUAUCACUUGUCAAAUUUGGUAGAUAAUUUUCUUGUCAUAGUGACCCAAAUUAUAAUCUCAGUCCAUCCUUUUUCACAGAAUUGAGUCCUGAGGAGUCUGAAGAUGUUCUUUUCAAGGAGGUAGUAGCAUUGCUUCUUCAUUAUCAAUAUUCUGUUCUUAAUUAUUUUUUACUAUUUUUAUAAAAUCCUUUGCAAUGGUUGAACCUGCUCAAUGAAAUUUGUGAUAUUUUCUGCAUAUGUUGUGGUUCUGGACCUUAAGAUUGAAGCUUGUGGUGGAUUGCUAAUGAAUUCGACCUAGAUCAUCCCGAAUAUAUUUACUAUCACUAGGCUGUUAUAUGUACCUUGUGUUAAAUCUCAACUAGUGAUGACCUUCUAUAAAUGCAAUUGGAUCACCUUUAGACAAUGAUUUCUCCCCUCUCAAAUCCUUAAAAUUAUUUCGUAAUUUUAACUUUUCUCACAAAAAAUAUUGAAUCUUUAAUCUUUAUUUAUUAAUUCUAUAUAUUCAUCCGGUCUAACUAUAUUUUUUACUUUUCUUCUUAAACUUUAUUAUUUUUAUACAAAUAAAAUUUUAUUUAUGGAUUAUACUUUUUGGAAAAAGAAUUCAGAUUUUUAGAUUCGAUUUUAAAUAAGUAAAAAUAGAUAAUAACCUCUAGACCGAUCAACCGACCCAUUGAGACUCCUAAUACAAGCAAAAGUCUUCCCUCCUCUUUUCCCUGAAUUUGAUCAGGAAAUUGUCACGUCCGGUCGCAUCAGUCUUUGGAUUCUCAUCUCUAAUCAAGAGUCGAUAGUUGAAAGAUGAAUAAGCUGAACCAACACAUGUAUUUCUUUAACUAUCCAAAAAGGAAGCAACAUAAUGAUCUAAGUGCUAAUUAAUGCCAAAGUUCCUUUUGUAGGUGGUUAGUUGCCGCUUGCCUGCUAGUUGUUUCAGCCUUUCAGGUUUUCUAUGUAAAAUUAAAAUGUAUCCAAGUUAGGUUUAAUAUAUAUCUUAUUAUUUUAAUGUGACUAUUAACUUCUCGGAAAUAAAAAUGUGAAUUUUAAGAGAGAAUCUUCAAAUUAACUUAAAAGGAAAAAGAACCACCAAUAGGAUUUGGCCUUUAAUUUGAGGUUAAAAGGUGAGCCAAUUGUAUACUAUAGAAUUAGGCAAAACCAAGUUUGAAGGGCAAAGUGUUUUUGUAGUUUGGAAGUGAAGACUCGUUUAAAGUGGUUAGGAGUCAUCCAUAUAUUUUUAUAUGUAUAUGUAAGCGUAUCUCACUUUUGGCUACACCUUGAAAAGUUGUAGCUUUUACAUGGUAUUGGUGUGUGAAUGUGCAUGGAAUCGGUAAUUAUAGGCACCGAUCUAAUGCUUCAACGAAUGUGAAGAAAGAAAAUUAGUUGAUCGUGUAUUGAUAUCAUUCUCUGACUAAUUGCGAAGGAAUCUUUUAGAUGAAAGAAGGAACACUGAAAAUCGAGGCAUGCCCAAAUAUUUUGACUCAGGCUUUGCACCAUUAGGAUCUCCAUCCUUCUUUGUUGCUCUGGGCACGAGGACUCCUGAUGAUGCAAGGUUGGUCAUAAGGACAUGGGAACGCAAUUAAUAAGCUUGAUUAGUGGCUUUGGGCUUAGUUUGAAGAUCAAGCAGGAGAGACGUAACUCCACACGUGUAUGGAGAAAUAAGGUUGUUUUCGAUUAAUUCAAGCAUAAUACAAGCCGAAAUUCGAGUACUUUAAUGUUUGAUAUGCAUAUAAUGAAGUAGUUUGGGUAGGAGUGUUUUUAGGUAGGCUUACCUGAAUUUACCCUUAUUUUUAUUAAGUUGGCACAUAAAAUUUAGGGCUACGACAGUUAUUGCCUAGUUAACUCCUCUCUAGUUCUUAAUUUGACUUUAGUUUAUUAAUAUCUAUUUAUUUAUAUAUUCAUAUUUAGCUUCUAGUCUCUUCUUAUAGAAUGAGGGCUUUUGCACUAUAAAAACCGCACGCAACUGAAUACUUGAAGCUAAUGAGGAUAAUAUUUCAGUUUUGUACUUUGUAAGAAAUCAAGUUAUGUGUUCUUUUAAGAAACUUGUGGACUUAUCAACAUUCGAACUAGCAAGCAUAAACUUAUCCCUCAUGUCCUUCCUUUCCCUUGUGUUCUUUGUCUACGCUUGUGUUUAAAUCAAUUCGAUUUGAUCCUUACACUUAGCCUUAUGGAAGAGAAUAAAGAACUUGUGAUUUCUUUCCUUAUUAGAUCAGAAAUCCUACUUAUAUUUUGUUUGUCUCUUUUGUGUCUCUCUUUCUAAUCUCUAUGUAGUAUGUUAGUUUGGUUUUAUAUAGGGAGAACAAACACGACUGUUGGGUGAAAGGGCAUGGACGCGGCAAUCAUAGACACCGACCUAAUGCUUAGAGGAAUCUGGAGAAAUAAAAUUAGUUAAUCGAAGGUUGAAAUCAUUCUCCAAAUGAUCAUAGAUGAAUCUUUUGGAGGAAAGAGGGAAAGAUAAAAAUCGAGUCAUGAACAAAUAAUCUGAUUUAGGAUUUACACCAUUAGGAUCUCCAUCAUUCCUUAUUCCUCUAGGCACGACGACACAUGAUGACACAGGGAUUGGCAUAAGGAAUCAUGGAAAUGCAAUUGAUAAGCUUUCCUGGUGGCAUUAGGACUUAGCUUUAAGAUAAAGUAGGAUAAGAUAUAAAUCCACUUGCAUAAGGGAGAAAUAAUAAUCUUAUCAAUGAACCGAAGCAUAAUAUAAUCAGGAUUGCGAGCCUUUUUAUCUUUAGUAUACAUAUAAUUAAGUAAUUUGGUUUGGAGUAUCCUUAUGUAGGCCCACAUGAAUUUCUCCUUCUUUCUGUUAAAUUGGUUCAUAAAAUCUGGGAUCUCCAUCAUUCCUUGUUCCUCACAUGAGGACUCCUGAUGACAUAAGGAUUACUGUAAGGAUUGGUUAACCACUCUCGUAGUCCCAAAUUUUAUGAGUCGGCUUAAUAAAAAUAAGGAGAAAUUCGUGUUGAGCUACCUAAUAACACUCUGACCCAGACUACUUGAUUAUAUGUGUCCUAAACAUCAAAACACUUACAUUUCCACUUGUAUUAUGCUUAGAUUUAUUGAAAACAACAUGAUUUCUUCCUUACGCACUUGGAUUUACAUCUUGUCCUACUUGAUCAUCAAACCAAUCCCCACGCCACUAGUUAGGCUUUUUAAUUGCAGUCGCAUGAUUCCUUUUGCCAAUCCUUGUGUCAUGAGGAGUUCUCGUGCAUAGAGGAACAAGGAAUGAUGUAGAUCCUAUUGGUGUAAACCAUGAAUCAGAAUACCUGGGCAUGUCUCAAUUCUCAAUGUUCCAUCUUUCCCCCAAAAGAUUCAUUUUCAAUCAUUUGAAGAAUGAUAUCAAUGCUCGAUCAACUAAUUUUCUUUCAUUGCAUUUGUCCAAACAAUAGAUUAGUGCCUAUGAUUUUUGCUUCCACGUGAUUUAACUUAACACUCCUAUUUAUGCUCGCCAAAUAAAACCAGACCAUCAUAUAAGACAUCGAUUAGAAAGAAACGAACAAAAGAAAAAAAAACAAAUGAGAACAUAGGCAGGAUUUCAUAUCCGAUAAGGAAAAAAAACACAAUUUCUUUAUUCUCUUCUAUGGCUAAGCGUAAGUAUCAAAUUGAAUUGAUCUAAACACAAGGGUAGACAAAGAACACAAGAAAAAGGAUGGACAUGAGGAAUAAGUCUAGGUUCGCUGUUGCGGAUCUUCAUAAGUAUGCAAGUUCUUGAAAGUACCCAUACCUUAAUUCUUUACAAGGUAACAAAUUGAAAUAAUAUGAUCACUAGCCACAAAUAUUCGAUUCCAUGCAAUUUUUAUAGUGUGAAAUCCCUCAUUCCAUAAGAAGAAGAAACUAGAAGCUAAAUAUGAGUAAAUAAAUAAAGAAAGAGGAAUAAACUAAAGUCAAAUCAAGAACUAGAGAGGAGUUGACUGGUUACCAACUCUCAUAGUCCUAAAUUUUAUGAGCCAGCUUAACGAAAACAAGAAAAAAUUCACGUGAGGGUACCUAAUAACACUCCGACCAAAAAUACUUCAUUUUAUCCAUCCCAAACAUUAAAGCGCUUGAAUUUUCGCUCAUAUUACACUUGGAUUAAUCGAAAACAACAUAAUGUCUCCCUUACGCGCAUGGAUUUAUAUCUCAUCCUAUUUGACCAUCAAGCAAAGACUCAAUGCCACCGAUCAACCUUGUCAAUUGCACUCCCAUGAUUCCUUACGCCAAUCCUUGUGUCAUCAGGAGUCCUCAUCCUUAGUGGAGCCAGUAAUAAAGGAGAUCCCAAUGGUGCAAAUCAUGAAUAAGAAUAUCUAGGCGUGCCUCGAUUCUCAUCCUUUCUCUUGUGUUCUUUGUCUAUCCUUGUGUUUACAUCAAUUUGAUUUAAGCCUUACGCUUAGCCGUAUGGAAGAGGACAAAGAACUUGUGAUUUCUUUCCUUAUCGGAUAUGAAAUCCUACCUAUAUUCUCAUUUUGUUUGUUUCUUUUAUGUCUCUCAUUCUAAUCUCUGUCUACUAUGAUGGUUUAGUUUUAUUUGGGGAGUAUAAACACGACUGUUGAGUGAGAGCACAUGAAAACGGUAAUCUUAGGCACCGAUCUAAUGCUUCGAUGAACGCGAAGGAAGAAAAUUAGUUGAUCGAGUGUUGAUAUCAUUAGCUGAUGAUCAAGCAGGACGAGAUGUAAAACCAUGCUCGUAAGGGAGAAAUCAUUUCUUUUUUUAUUAAUCCAAGCAUGAAUGAGCGUGUUUUGAUGUUUUGGAGACAUAUAAUGAUGUAUAUUGGGUUGAAAUGUUAUUAUGUACGUCCAUACAAUUUCCUCUUAUUUUCAUUAAGGAAUCAUAGGAAAGUAAUUGAUAAUCUUAACUGGCGGCAUUGGAGCAUGACUUGAUGAUUAAGUAGCAUGAGACACAAAUCGACAAGUGUAAAGGAGAAACUAUAUUGCUUUAGAUUAAUACAAGUUGGAAUGCAGACAUUUUGAUAUUUGGGAUGCAUAUAAUGAAUAAUUUGGGUCGGAGUGUGAUUAGGUAUACUCACAGGAAUUUUCCUUUGUUUUUGUUUAGCUGGCUCAUAAAAUUUAGAAAUAUCACAGUUAUUGUCCACUCAACUCCUCUCUAUUUCUUGAUUUGACCUUAGUUUAUUCAUCUUUCUCUAUUUAUUUAUUCAAAUUUAGCUUCUUAUUUCUUCUUUUUAUGAAAUGAGGGCUUUCACACUAUGUAAACCGCAUGCAAUUGAAUAUUUGGGUCUAGUGUGCAUAUUAUUUCAGUUUUCUACCUUGCGGAGAAUUAAGUUGUAGGUUCUUUCAUGAACUUUGUGGAUUUAUAAGAACCCGCACUAGCGAACUUAGACUUAUCGCUCAUGUCCUUCCUUCCAUUUAUGUUCUUUUGUUCGUCUCUUUCUAAUAUAUGUCUUGUAUAAUUAUUUGAUUUUAUUUGGCGAGCAUAAACAAGAGUGUUGAGUUAAAGCGUGUGAAAGCGACAAUCAUAGGGACUGAUCCAAUGCUUAGACAAAUGCAUAGAAAGAAAAUUAGUUGAUCGAGUAUUGACAUCAUUCUUUGAAUGAUCGCGGAUGAAUCUUUUGAAGGAGAGAGGGAAUGAUGUAAAUUGAGGCACACCAAAAUAUUUACGAUUCAGGAUUUUCACCAUUAGGAUCUCUGUCAUUCCAUGUUUCUCUAGGCACGAGGACUCCGUGAUGACACAAGGAUUGGCAUAAUGGAAAAUUGGAAUGCAAUUGACAAGCUUGACUAGUGACAUUGGGACUUAGCUUGAUGACCAAGCAAGAUGAGAUGUGAAUCCAUUCGUGUAAGGGAGAAAUCAUGUUAUUUUCGAUUAAUCCAAGCAUAAUACAAGCAGCAAUUUAACCAUUUUGAUGUUUAUGAUGCAUAUAAUGAAUUAAUUUUGGUCGGAGUGUUGUUAUAUUGGCCAUUGCAAAUUUUCAAUUAUUUUUAUGAAGCUCCCUCACAGAAUUUGGGCACCAGAGUUGUUGACCAGUCCACUACUAUCUGCUUCUUAAUUUAACUUUGGUUUAUUCAUCCUUUUUUAUUAUGUAUUCAUAUUUAGCUUCAAGUUUCUUCUUCUAAUAGAAUAAGGGCUUUCACACUAUACAAACUGCAUGCAACUGAAUACUUCAGGCUACUGAGCAUAUUGUUCUAGUUUUCUACAGUGCAGGAAAUCAAGUUGUGGGUUCUUUCAAGAACUUUUUUGGACUUAUCAAGACUCAUGCUAGCAAACUUUGACUUAUUACUUUUGUCCUUCCCUUCUUUUAUGUUCUCUAUCUACCCGUGUGUUUAAAUGUAUUAGAUUUGAUCCUUACACUUAGUCAUAUGGAAGAGAACAAAAAAAUUGUGAUCUUUUCCUUAUCAGAUCCAAAAUUCUACUUAUGUUCUCAUUUUUUUCAUCUCAUUGGUGCCUCUCUUUCUAAUUUUUGUUUUAUUUGAGGGUCUAGUUUUACUUGGGGAGUAUAAACAUUAGUGUUGAGAGAAAACUCGUUGAAGCGGCAAUCAUAGGCACUGAUCCAAUGCUUGGACAAAUGCAAAUAAAGAAAAUUAGUUGAUCGAGUAUUGAUAUCAUUCUCAGAAUGAUCCGGACAAAUCUUUUGGAGGAGAUAGGGAAUAGCGAGAAUCGAGCCAUGCCCAAAUAUUCCAAUUAAGGAUUUGCACCAUUGGGAUCUUCGUCAUUCCUUAUUUUUAUAGGCACGAGGACUCCUUAUGACACAAGGAUUUGAAAUAAAAUCAAUUUGAUCCUUAUGCUUAGCCGUUUGGAAGAGUACAAAGAAGUUUUGAUUUCUUUCCUUAUCAAACUCAAAAUCCCACCUAUGUAAUUAUUUUGUUCUUUUCUUUUUGCCCCGCUUUCUAAUCUCUGCCUAGUAUGAUGGUUUGGUUUGAUAUGGGGAGUAUAAACACAAGUGUAGAGUGAAAGUGCGUGGAAGCAACAAUCAUAGGCACUGAUCUAAUGCUUGGACAAAUGCCAAGAAAGAAAAUUAGUUGAUCGAGUACAGGCACCAUUGAGGUCUCCAUCAUUCAUUAUUCCUCUAACUCCCGAUGACAUAAGAAUUGGCUUAAGGAAUCAUGGGAAUGCAAUUCACAAGCUUGACUGGUGGCAUUGGAGUGUGACUUGAUGAUUAAGUAGGACGAGGUACAAAUCCAAGUGCGAGUUUUGAUGUUUGGGAUGCAUAUAAUGAUGUAAUUUCUGCCGAAUUGAUAAUAGGUAGGCCCUUGCAAAUUCUCCCUUAUUUUGUUAGGCUGGCUCAUAAAAUUUGGAACUACAAAUGUUGUUGACUAGUCAACUCCUCUCCGGUUCUUGAUUUGACUUUAGUUUAUUCAUCUUUCUUUAUUUAUUUAUUCAUAUUUAGCUUGUAGUUUCUUCUUUUUAUUGAAUGAGGGUUUUCGCACCAUGAAAAUGCAUGCAACUAAAUAUUUAAGGCUAUUUUGAGCAUAUUAUUUCAGUCUUCUAUAUUUCAGGACAUCGAGUUAUGGGUUCUUUCAAGAACUUUGUAGACUUGUGAAGACUCGUGGCGAACCUAGACUUAUCUCCCAUGUCCUUUCUUUUAUGUUCUUUAUCUACCAUUGUCUUUAAAUCAUUUUGAUUUGAUCCUUACAUUUGCCAUAUGGAAGAGAAUAAAGAACUGGUGAUUUCUUUGAUUUGAUCCUUAUAUUCUCAUUUUGUUCAUUUAUUUUUUCUCUUUUGAGUCAUAAAUCCACAUGAAUAAUGGAGUAGUCAUGUUGUUUUUUAUCAAUCCAAGCAUAAUACAAGUGGAAAUGCAAGUAUUUUGAUGUUUAGGACGCAUAUAAUGAAGUAAUUUGGGUCGAAGUGCUAUUAGUUAGGCCAAACAAGAUUUCUCUUAUUUUCGUUAAGCUGGCUCUUAAAAUUUAGGACUGUGAGAGUGUUUGACCAGUCAACUCAUGUCUGGUCCUUGAUAUGACUUUAGUUUAUUCAUCUUUCUUUAUUUAUAUAAUUAUAUUUAGCUUCUAGUUUUUUCUUCUUAUGUAAUAAGGGCCUUCCCACUAUAGAAACAACAUGCAGCCAAAUACUUGAGGCUAGUGAGCAUAUUAUUUUAUUUUUAUACCUUGUGGAAAAUCAAGUUAUUGAUUCUUUCAAGAACUUCGCGGACUUAUCAAGACAUAUACUUGUGAACAGAGACUUAUUCCUCAAGUCCUUCCUUUCUUUUAUAUCCUUUGUCUACCUUUGUGUUUACAGAAGUUUUAUUUGAUCCUUACGCUUAGCCGCAUGGAAAAGAAUAAAAAACUUGUGAUUUCUUUGUUGGAAAAACACACGCAGUGGCGCAGCAGAAGCUCUUAAAAAUUUCAUAUCUCAUAGAAAUUUAGAUUACAAGCUGCAAUUGAGGAUUUAAGUUGAAAAAGUAAAUAACUUUCUUUUAUGAACAUGAAGAACACAACUUUUCUUAAUUGUUGAUGAUAUUUAUGUUAGAGAAUUAAAUAGAGAUUCACAAUUGCGAACCCUUUAGAUUAUCUCACAUAAUCAAUUUUAAGGAAAGCUACUGAAUCAUUAAAGGUGAAGAACUCCUCUUCUUUCAAGUUUUCUACUAUGAUAACCUUAUUAUAAUCAUAAGUAUGUCGAAUUAUAUCACUAUAUAUGAUAAUGGGAGUAAGAAACUCUCUUAUAUAGUGUUAAGGAUUUAUAAUCCUUAACACAGUUGUACAAACACAUGUCACUAUAAAACUCUUUUGUGAUGACAUGUGUCAAGCAGUAUUAACACAUGUCAUCAUAAAACUCUUUUAUGAUGACAAAUGUCAAGCUAUAUUAACACAUGUUAUUAUAAAACUCUUUUGUAAUGACACAUAUCAGGUUGCUUUCUUGACAUAUGUCAUUAUAAAACCAUCUUAGUGAUGAUACUUAUCUAGUUGCUUUCUCUACAUAUGUCACCAUAAAUGCUUUUAUGAUGACACAUCUCAAGCUACUUUCUUAAUACAUGUCAUCAUAAACCCUUCUAUGAUGACACGUGUCAAGCUACUGUAUAAAUACAUGUCACUAUAAACUCUUUAUGAUGACAUGUGUCGAGCUUCUUCAAUAUAUAACACUUAUAUAUUAUACAUUAUUUAGACAUUUACGGACUUUACUUCGGAAGAUACUAGUGUCCCUACUUGAGGUACAAGCUAAGUCUAUCGCUGUGCUUGAGUUGAUCUUAACGUAUGUGACUUUCUAGGUUCAUUAUUAAUUAGUAAUGGGAGUUUAAUAUUAAACUCUUUAAUUUUAAUUAGAACACUUUAACCAACUAAUGGAACAAUCAAUUGUCCCUUAAUCAUUCCCAUAAAUUAUAAGUGACCUCUAGCAACAUAAAGGAAGGACGCGAGUCAUAAGUCUAGGUUCGCUAGUACGGGUCUUCAAAAGUCCGCAAAGUUCUUGAAAUAACCCAUAAAUUGAUUUUUCGCAAGGUAGAGAACUAAAAUAAUCUACCCACUAGCCUCAAGUAUUCAGUUGCAUGCAGUUUUUAUAGUGCGAAAGCCCUCUUUCCAUAAAAAGAAGGAACUAGAGGCUAAAUAUGAAUAGAUAAACAAAGAAAGAUGAAUAAAUUGAAGUCAAAUUAAGAACGAGAGAGGGAUUGAUUGGUCAACAACUCUCGUGGUUCCAAAUUUUAUGAGCCAGCUUAAUAAAAAUAAGGUGAAAUUCGUAUGAACCUACCUAAUAACACUUCGACUCAAAUUACUUUAAAUGAAUUUGAUUUGAUCCUUACACUUAGUUGUAUAGGAGAGAACAACAAACUGGUGAUUCUUUCAUUAUUGGAUCCAAAAUCUUACCUAUGUUAUCAUUUUGCUCGUUUGUUUUGUGCCUCUCUUUCUAAUCUCUAUCUACUAUGAUGGUUUGGUUUUAUCUAGGGAGCAUAAACACGAGUGUUAAGUGAAAGCGGCAAUCAUAGGCAUCGAUCCAAUGCUCAGACAAAUGCAAAUAAAUAAAAUUAGUUGAUGGAUCAUUUAGGCUUGGAACUUGAUCUCCUCAACUUAGUUAGCUAUUUGGCUCCUUAGGCUUGGGUUUGCAUCAGUUCCUCAAGGCACGAUGACUUUUAAUGGCACAAGCAUUAGAGUAAGGAAUCAUAGAAACUCAACUGACAAGCUUGACCGGUGGCAUUGAGGCUUAGCUUGAUGAUGAAACAAGAUAAGACAUAAAUCCACACGCGUAAAGGAGAAGUCAUGUUGCUUUUUAUUAAUCCAAGCGUAACAACAAGCAGCAAUGGGAGCAUUUUAAUGUUUGGAAGGCAUACAAUGAAGUAAUUUAUAUCGAAGUAUUAUUAGGUAGGUACACACAAAAAUGAAAUAGUGAAAUGGAGUAUAAUGAACAUCAAUGAGGCUAUGGAGAAGAUGCACUUAUAUAUGGUAGCCAACCAAAAGCCAUAUUAGAGCAAAUCAAAGCUAAUGCUAGUGCAGGAAACAAUAGGCAGAACUUGGUAGGCAAUGAGAAAGAUUUAGACUUGGUCUAUGAUGAUGAUGAUAAUGCCACAACUGUGGAUGUUGGCCGUGGCAUGGGUUGAGGAGCUAAAGGAGGCUGAAACAAUGCAAUAGGUAGAGGGAAUAGUGGAGGUGAGUUUGGUGGUUACUAUUGGUAUAAUGAUGAUGUCGAUAGAAACUUGGAUAGCAUCAAACUUAGGAUUCCUACUUUUUAGGAAAAUCAUAUCCGGAGGCAUAUUUGGAGUGUGAAAAGCAAGUAAACCUUAUCUUUGAUUGUCCUAAUUUUUGUGAGGAAAAGAAGGUAAAGUUAGUGGUUACUAAAUUUUCUGAGUAUGCGAUAGUGUGGUGUGAUCAAUUGGUGGCGAGUAGGAGAAGAAACAUGGAAGCGCCUAUUGAUACUUGGCAUGCUCUCAAAACCAUCAUGAAAAGACAUUUUGUACCUAGACAUUACCAUAGAGAAUUACAUCAAAGACUCCAAGCUUUAAAGAAAGGUAUUAGGAAGGUAGAGGAUUAUUAUAAGGAAAUGGAGAUGCUCAUGACAAGGACUGAUUUUGAUGAACCCAUAGGAAAUGGCAUGUUUUAUUAUUGGGCUUAAUAAGGAGAUUGCGAAUAGGGUCGAAUUACAACAUUAUGUAGAACUUGAGGAGUUAGUUCAUCUUGCAAUUAAGAUUGAAAAGUAAUUAAAACCAAGGGGCGCAACAAGGUUGGAACAAAAAGGCACUUCAAGCAAUAGGCCUAAUUGGUCUAAUCAAUAGAAAGAAAAUAAAAGAGGAGAUGAUAUGGUUGUUUUUUAUGGGAAAAGAGUAAGAAUGUUUUAGGCAACAAGGUGAUAUGGAACCUCCAUGAAGCUUGAGGACUCCUUUUGAAUUGCGGAUCCCCAACAGAUUAACACGAAAACUCAAAGAACCAAUUCGGUUCAACCCCUAAGAAAGGUUAGAAAACAUAUUACUUAGAAAGAUGAUCAAGAAUUAGAACCUAAGGAAAACUAAGUCCUUUAAACCCUAAUUCCAAGUACACCACAAGGAUAGAUUUACUCCUUGAUAAGUAAGAUUUUCAUUCAAAUAAGACCACAAAGACAAAGCAAAAGCUUUAAGGUUUACAAACCAAUUAUCAUUCAACUUCAACUUCAACUUAAUUUUUUUUUAAAUCAAAAUUCGUACUAGCCUUAUAUAGGCCUUAGAAAAUCCUAAAUCAUAAGUUAUAAGAAUUUACAUCUCAUAUAGGAUAAAGAUAACCUUCAUAACUAAAAGAGAUAACUUAAACAAAGUCCUAAUUAGGUUAAAAAAACAUGUGUAGCCGCCCAUAAUAAGCCAUAAAACCCUAAUUUACAUAAGUCAUGUAGAUGGGACUCAUAACAUAAGCCAAGUUAGGCCUAGAGUCUUCAUAUGAUCCAAUUUAACUUCUUUAGUUUUCUUAACCCCAAUUAGAUUCAUUCAAGCCUAAUAAACUGAAUUAGAUUAAUGAGCCUUGAACCAUUGUAAGUGAUAGGGAUGUUAAAUUCUUAAGUCAUUUUUUUGGCGUGUGUUAUGGGUAAGUUAGGCACUAAAUUAUUAUUUUAUACUACUUGCCAUUCAUAAACAUAUGGACAAAUCAAAGUUGUUAAUAGAACUUUGGUUCAACUCCUUUGUUCUUUAAUUUCUAGGAAUUUUAAAUCUUGGCAGGAUCUUUUGCCAUAUGUGGAGUUUUCAUACAAUAGGGUUAUUCAUAGCAUUACACAUUGUUCUCCAUUUGAAAUUGUUUAUGGUUUUAACCCAUUAACUCCUAUUGAUCUAGUUCCUUUGCCUCUUAACAAGCUUGUUAAUGUUGAUGGUUCUUCUAAGGUAGAUUUGGUUAAAAGGCUACAUGAACAAAUUUAAGAGAGGAUUGAGUAGCAAAAUACUAGAGUAAUCGAAAGACUUAACAAAGGAAGAAGGCCAAUGGUGUUCCAACCUAGUGAUUGGAACUAAGGUUUUUGCAAGGAAAAGUUCCCAAAUCAAUGAAAGCCAAAGCUAAGUCCAAGGGAUGAUGGACCAUUUCAAGUACUUGAGAGGAUAUACGACAAUGCUUACAAAAUUGAUUUAUAAGGUAAGUAUAAUGUGAGUGGCAGAUUUAAUGUUGCUGAUUUGAGUCCUUAUGAUAUAGGUGAUAAGUUUGAUUCAAGGACGAAUCAUCCUAAAGAAGGAGGGAAUGAUAUAGAUCGGCCAAGGCUUAAAUAUGUUGAUUUGGUUGGGCUUGAUGAUAAGGGCAGCAAGAAAGAAUCAAGGAAGGAUCCAUUAAGUUUAUCAUAAAGUCCAAUUAUAAGAUCAAAGGCCAAGAAGCUUCAAAAGCCCUUAAAUAGCUAUAUGCAAGAGUGGGCUAACAAUGGAAGUCCAAUAGAAAAACGCCCAAAUGAAAUUCAUAAAGAAUGGACUUUGUUUAAUGUUCUUAAAGUCCAAGUUUAUGAAGGAUUUGUUUAGCUCGUAGUAUCCUAUUUGGUUAAAUGUUAAAGUUUCCUAAGUUUGUGAAGAAACUUAUAUUAGAUCAUAUUAGUUAAGUAAGAGUUCUUGAUGCGAAUCCUACAAGCACAAGGAAUCCUACUCCGACUAGGAAUCCUACUCUAACUAGGAAUCCUACUUGAAUUAGGAGUCCUAAUCCCACGAGGAGUCCUACUCGAACUAAAAGUCCUACUUCCACUAGGAAUCUUAGUCUGAUGAGGAGUCCUACUCCAGUUAGAAAUCCUAAUCCAACUAGGAUUAUACACGAGCCACUCAAAUAUGAUGGACCAAUUACUAGAGCUCAUAUGAAGAAGUUCAAGGAUGCUUUAGGAAUGUUCCUGAAGCAAGAGUUGAAGCUUAGGUUGGAGAUCCAAAGUCCAAGUGAGAUUGGGCUUAAUUAAGACAAUUGGCCUCAAGAUACUCAUAUAAACUUAGUUCUAUAUAUGGAGGCUUGAACUAGUCAAAAUAGGCCCAAAAUAAACAAGUCAAGCUAAUACUCAAGAAUUGGUCGCUUAUUACAUGUUACUUAAGCCCAAAUGUCAUGUUUAUUAUAUGGGCUAGGGUUGGACGAAUUUCAGGAGUAUUUUUUCAUUUAAAGAAGUCUUUUAAUAGUUCAGAAUCUUAUUUUAAGUUAUUCUUUUAGUUUAGGAGUUCUAUUCCUAGUUGUUAUUGUUAUUGGCUUCCUUAUUAUUAUAGAAUUAGGUUUUUCUAAGGCCUAUAUAAGCUUGUACGAAUUUCUAUGUAAAGUUUGGUUGAAUAUUGUUUAUUUUAGAGUUAAUUCUCUUAUUCUGUUCUUUAUAAACCUGGUGAAUUUGUGAAUUUAUCUAGUGAAUGCUUGAUAUUUUACAAAUUUAGUUUAAUCUAAACUUUUAUUUAUAUUAAACAACCUUUAAUUCUUUAUAAUUAAGGUUCUUAAGUACAAGUUAUUUAAGGCUCUGGUUGGGAGUUAUAGUUUCUUUGCUUAAUUAAGUGAACGAUCCUUAGUAAAGACAUCAAUAUUGAAUAUAGGUUAGGCAUAAGUUAGCCAUGUUUAUAUCAAUUCUAUUCUUCUUAGGAUUUUAGAAAUGUCUUUAAAACAUAUCAAAUUGGUAUGCCAUUUUUCAAAUUAUGAUCAAGAAUUGGUCGCUUAUUACAUGAUCAAUUAAAUUGUUUUAUGUUUCUCCUAAUUCUUCUUCUACGGCUAUGAAAACAGGGGUAUAAAAUUCUGCUCUGAAAUAGAAUUUAAGGACUAUGAAAUCACUUCACACCAUUAAUAUAUAAUUGCAAUUAUAAUAUAGAAUAAAAAUAAGUAACUUGCCCAAAUCAAUAGUGAAAUUAACAAGAUUUAGGUUUAGGAAUUUGAGAGAAGAAAGGAAAGAAAUUAGAUAUAGAUAUUUUUUUUGAUACCGGAGUUAUAGCUUAAUGAGGAGAUAAACUAGAGUUUUCUAGUUUUUUUUCACAAGAUAAGGACACUCCCAUACACAUCCACUACCUCCAUAUACAUCCUUUAUCUUAUAUUUAUUAUUAUUAUUAUUAUUAUUAUUAUUAUUAUUAUUAUUAUCAUUAUCAUCAAUCUUUUUGUUAUAUUUUAAUCAAUUAUCAAAUAGAAGUCCAAAUCAAUCUAUAUAAAUAAGUCAACUAGAUUCAAUUUCUUACAUAUUUAUUUAUUGACUCAAAUUUCAAUUUUAUAAUACCUCAAAUACAUCCUAUAUUACACAUACUAAAAUAUGCCACUACAAUGCACUUUGACAAAUAUAAAACAAAUGAAAGAUGUGGAAUUCACAUAAUGAAAUGGAAUGAUUUGAGAUGCAUAUGUUUAAGUUAUUUUAUGCAAUACAUGCAAAUUUAAAUGAAAUGCUUAUGGUUAAAGUCAAUGAAGUUAUAUUCAAUACCUGCGAAUAAAUAGGGAUAUUGUCGCUUCAUAUUCUCCUCAGUUUCCCAAAUAGCUUCUUCCUAUGAAUGGUUCCUCCACAACACUUUACUCAAGAAAAUUUCUUGGUUCCGUAACUGCGUUGUCUUAUAACCAAUGAUCUUUACCGGUUCUUCAACAUAAUUCAAAUUAUCGGCAAUUUCCACUUCUUGAUUUUUAAGUAUAUAUGUAGGAUCAUAUCGAUAUCUUCUAAGCAUACUCACGUGAAACACAUCAUGGAUCUGGGCCAAUUUUGGUGGUAGUGCUAACCUAUAAGCUAAUGGACCAAUUAUUUCAAGAAUUUCAUAUGGCCCUAUAUAUCGAGGACUCGACUUGCCUUUUUUGCCAAAUAUGAUUGCUCCUUUCCAUGGUAAAACUCAAAGAAACACUUUAUCACCCAUUUCAUAUUCCAUUUCUCUCUUAUGCUGGUCUGCAUAGCUUUUUUUGUUUAUCUUGUGCUGCUUUGAGUCUACUUCUGAUUAGUUUUACUUUAUCCACUGUAUCUUACACUAUUUUAGGGUCUUCUAAUACACGCAUACCUUCUUCAUUCCAAGAAAUGGGACUAUGACACUUUCUUCCAUAUAAUGCCUCGUAUGGUGCCAUUUGGAUACUGUUGUUGAUAGGAAAUCAUCAUCUUAGCAACCACACACCCCAAUAACUAAUGAGUUAUGAUCCAUAUGGAGUGCAAGAAAACACCCUCCAAUCAAGAUGAUUCCAAAACCCAAGGAUCUCCUCAAGUGAAGUUAGGAAAAACUAGUUCCAACGAUGAAACUAGCACUUGAAUUCAACUCCAAACGCCACAAACCAAGUAUGAUUUGAUAAGUUAUGAAUCAAACACAAGAUUUUGGUUAAAGAACGCCAUAAACUAAAAAUAGUUUGAUAAGUUCAAAGUUCAUGCAAGAACUUAAGUAAAAACACUCACAAAGAGCAAACAAAGAUUAUCAUUCAAAAUUCUAUAUUUACAAAUGAAUUUGGCUUUGGUAUUUAUAGCCAAAACAAGACAAAGAAAACCUAAAUGGAUGUCUUUUGAACUUUCCCACGUUUUCCCCUUUAAUUCCCCUUAAAACUCAUCAAAAUGGUUGUUUUUUUAAAUUGAUAGCACUCAUUUUAUAACUCCCAAAUGACAACUAAACAUGUGCACUCAUUUGUAACUCCACACAACACACAUAUAACUCACACCUAAUAAAAUAAUCAUUAAUUAAAUAAAAAUAAACUAAAAUAAUUACUUAAGCUAAAACCCAAAAGAUAAAAACCCAUAUAAAUAUGAAUUAAGUCCAAAGGCCUAAUCAUAGCCAAAUGGCUUUUAUUCUUCAAAAUGGACUGAAUGCUUCAUUAUAAGGUUGGACUCUUGUUUUCAUACAUGAGUUGCAUUUCCAUUUUGGACCUUUUGGUACAUGCCUUUGCAAUGGAAUUUCAUGGCAGCCUUGAUUCAUAUCAUUCCCCCUUUCUUGAAAGAAAAUUCGUCCUCGAAGUUUGCCCAAAUAUUGCGAAAGAAAUAAACAUAUAAUAUCAAACGAUAAUAGAAUGCCAUCAUCAACCUGAAAUUCCUUUGCAAUAGUGAUUAGAGGAUCUUUAAAACAAUUAAUAUUUUUAGUACCAAUAAAUCCAACAUGCUCAAAAGGUUUAACAGCUUCAUUAUUCACUAAUUGAAUCUUUGCUUCUUCAUUAACAAUAAACUCUUCAUUGUUGAAUUUAUUUAGAGGUAGCAAAUCAUUGUCUUCCUCGCCAUCUUCAAUUAUCACGUCUUCAGAAUCUAUAUUGACUUCAGUAGAGCAAUUUACCUCAUCUACUCCAUUGAUGUUAGUCUUCAAUGAUGACUUAGAAUCUUCUUUAUCUAUAAGAUGCUUAAGAAAGGUGUUAGUCAACAUAUUGAACUCUUCAAGCCCAUGCUUAAAUGCUUCAAAACUUAUUCUUAAAGAUUUGUUCUCCUUUGAAAAUUCAUCAAUAAAAACUUGACUUGGUUGUCUAUCUAACCUCUUAGGUUUAGGCUUAGAAGAAUAAAAAUUUUGUCUACACUCUUCAUAAUGAUUAUUUCUUUGACCCCACAUCUUAUCAUAAGAUUGAUAACGAAGAUUUCGACAUUGUCUAAUGAACUCAGCUUCAUGAAACAUUCUUUUUUUUUGUGUCUAUGGAUGAAAUAAAGAUAAAAAUAAAGAACCACAAAGAAGUUUGAAGGAAAGAACAAAAGAUAUAAUACGAAAUUCAAAGGAAAAGAAAAGAAAAACUACAUAAAGAGAUUGACAAGAAGGGAAAACAAAAAUUUAUUUAGUGAACACAAAGGUGUAAACUUUAAAACAGAGAGUACUUAAAAGGAAAAAUUGAAAUAAGAAGAAUUCGGCACUAAAAAAAAGCAAAGAAGAUGAGAAACUCCAAUAACACACAAAACACAAAGAUAAGCAAACCUCAACUUGAAGCAAGCUCUGAUACCAAAUGAUAGGAAAUCAUCAUCUUAGCAACCACACACCCCAAUAACUAAUGAGUUAUGAUCCAUAUGGAAUGCAAGAAACACUCUCCAAUCAAGAUAAUUCCAAAACCCAAGGAUCUCCUCAAGUGAAGUUAAGAAAAACUAGUUCCAACAAUGAAACUAGCACUUGAAUUCAACUCCAAACGCCACAAACCAAGUAUGAUUUGAUAAGUUAUGAAUCAAACACAAGAUUUUGUUUAGAGAACGCCACAAACUAAAAAUAGUUUGAUAAGUUCAAAGUUCAUACAAGAACUUAAGCAAAAACACUCACAAAGAGCAAACAAAGAUUAUCAUUCAAAAUUCUAUAUUUACAAAUGAAUUUGGCUUUAAUAUUUAUAGCCAAAACAAGACAAAGAAAACCUAUAUGGAUGUCUUUUGAACUUUCUCACGUUUUCCCCUUUAAUUCCCCUUAAAACUCAUUAAAAUGGCUGUUUUUUUAUAUUGAUAGCACUGAUUUUGUAACUUCCAAAUGACAACUAAACAUAUGUACUCAUUUGUAACUCCACACAACACACAUAUAACUCACACCUAAUAAAAUAAUCCUUAAUUAAAUAAAAAUAAACUAAAAUAAUUACUUAAGCUAAAACCCAAAAGAUAAAAACCCAUAUAAAUAUGAAUUAAGCCCAAAGGCCUAAUCAUAGCCAAAUGGCUUUUAUUCUUCAAAAUGGACUGAAUGCUUCAUUAUAAGGUUGGACUCUUGUUAUCAUACAUGAGUUGCAUUUCCAUUUUGGACCUUUUGGUGCAUGCCUUUGCAAUGGAAUCUCAUGGCAGCCUUGAUUCAUAUCAGUUGUGAUACUGAUUGUUAUAAGCAAACUCCAUUAAACCAAUAUGCUCAUCCCAUGCACCUUUAAAUUCUAAUACACAAGCUCGGAGCAUAUCUUCAAGUGUUUGAAUUGUUCUUUCUGAUUGCCCAUCUGUCUGAGGAUGAAAAGCAGUGCUGGAAUUUAAUUUAGUACCCAAAGCCUCAUUUAAACUCUCACAAAAGCGAGAUGUAAACCAUGGAUCCUUGUUUGAUACAAUGGAAACUAGAAGUCCAUGCCAUCUAAAAAUUUCAUUCACAUAUUGUUUGGCUAAAAAUUCAAGUGAACUACUCCAUUUGAUAGGCAAAAGGUGAGCUGACUUAGUUAAUUGAUCGACAAUCACCCAUAUAGCAUCAUUCUUUCUUGGAGUUUUUGGUAAUCCACAUACAAAAUCCAUCGUUAUUCUUUCCUAUUUCCAUACCGGAAUUGACAAAGGUAUCAACUUUCCAACUGGAGCUUGGUUUUCUGCUUUAACUUGUUGACAUGUUAAACAUUUUGAAACAUACUCUGCCACAUCUUUCUUCAUUUUAGGCCACCAAUAAUGGGGUCGUAAGGUGUUGUACAUUUUGGUCAUCCCCGGGUGCAUAGCAUAUGGAGCAUUAUGUGCCUCCUCUAAAAUUUCUCGGUGUAGGUUAUCAACAUCAGGUACACAAAUACGAGAUCCCAUCAUCAAGGUAUCAUUCUGAACAUUAAACUCUUUAUUUUCCCCUUACUUUACUUUGUUAAUCUUUUCUUGCAAUUGUGGAUCCUUGCUUUGUGCUUCCUUAAUUCUGUUAUGCAAUAUUGGUCUAACUUGCAAAGUAGCAAUCAACACUCCAUUUUCUUGCAAAUUUAAUUUGACAUUCAUAGCUCGCAACUGAACCAAAGAAAAGAAUGGAAAUACUUGUAAAUAAGCUACACUACUUCUUGUCUUCCUACUCAAAGCAUCAGCUACUACAUUUGCUUUUCCUAGAUGAUACUCAAUUGUGCAGUCAUAAUCCUUCAACAAUUCUCUUGUCUCAUAUUUAACUCUCUUUGGCUCAAUAAGUAUCUCAGACUCUUAUGAUUAGUAAAUAUCUGAAAUAUUUCUCCAUAUAAAUAAUGCCGUCAUAUUUUCAAAGCAAACACAACAGCAGCAAGUUCUAGAUCAUGUAUUGGAUAAGAUAACUCAUAUGGCCUUAGCUGUCUAGAUGCAUAUGCAAUCACCUUACCAUGUUGCAUUAACACAAAUCCCAAACCCUGAUGAGAAGCAUCACUAUAAACUAUAAAUCCUCCAUUACCUGUGGGAAUUGUUAACACUAGAAUAGUUGUCAACUUGGUUUUCAAGUCAUCGAAACUCUUCUGACAUGCUUCAGACUAUUCAAUACAACAUUUUUUCGAAGUAAAUUUGUCAAAGGGUUGGCUAUCAGUGAAAAUCCCUCAACAAACCGGCGAUAAUACCCAGCUAAUCUUAAGAAACUUCGAACUUCUACAACAUUCUAUCACUAUUGCUUCUAUUUUCUUUGGAUCCACUUCUAUGCCCCGUCUAAAAAUAACAUGUCCCAAAAAUACUACCUCAUCUAUCCAAGACUCACAUUUACUCAACUUAGCAUACAAUUAUUUCUCUCUCAAGGUUUGUAACACAAUUCUUAAAUGAUGUUCAUGUUCCUACCUACUUCUUGAAUAGACAAGUAUGUCAUCAAUGAACAAAAUCACAAAUUUGUCUAAGUAGCACUGAAACACCUUGCUCAUGAGAGCCAUAAAUGCAAUUGGUGCAUUAGUUAAACCAAACGGUAUCACUAAAAAUUCAUAGUGCCUGUACUCGGUUCGAAAAGCAGUCUUUGGUACAUCAGGGUCUGAAAUUUUAAGCUGAUAGUAGCCUGAUUUCAAUCAAUCUUGNNNAUGAUUUUGCAAAUAUUUGCCAAGCCGGUCACAACAUCCUUUUAUAUCCGUAAGCAAGUGCUCAAAUGUAGAAUUUGCAUUGAACUUAUAAACACUUGUAUAUAAACAUAACCAUCAAUAAACAAACUACAUACAUUUAAAUAAUCAAAACAAUUCACCUCAAUCACAUAAUUUCACCAUAUGUUCACACUAAUCUCAAUCACACAAUUUCACCCAAGAAGUCGAUCAAUAUUUAUACUCACUUUUUAGAUAUUAAUUACGUUAUGGACAACCUGUAUUUCCGUCUCGAACUUCAUCGAUGCCUUGAGAUCCUAAAAUAUAACAUAUAUUUGGUCAAAAACAUACCUACAAUAGUGUUUACACUUGGUAUAUGAUUAGUAUAUUUUCAGGAUAUGCUAUUUAUAUGUGUAAGCUUAACAUUUAUGCACAAUUCUUUCCUAUUUGACAGCUUAACCUUGCUAGACCUGAGAGUGAGUAACUUUCACCACACAAUUCUAAAUUAGUUGACUCAUUUUUUUUAUAAAACUAGACACACAAGACUAUAACAUAUCCAAAAGUUAUCACAAUAUAAGCUCUUCAUAAUUAAUGGUGAAUUUUUGAAUCCAAAUCUGUGCUCUGCACAAUAACAUUUUGAGCAAGUCUCAUUCAGUUUAGAAUUUCUCAAGUUACACAAGUCCAAUUGAAAAAUCCUAUUCUAAAAACUUCAAUAACAUAUAAAGGAACAACUUUCAUGUUUUAAACUUCAUCUAGUUUAGCCUCUAAAGUCCUCAUAGUAUUUGGGAAACACCAUACUGCCUGCAGACAAAGCAAACAGAACCAACCUCACUCCAAGGGCGAUUUCUCAUUACACAUAUAUUAUUUCAUUAAACUGCAUCAGAUGGUUUUAGAUAACAUAAAAGGAACAAAACUCAUGGUUAAUAAUUUGUCUAAUUCAGCCCCUAAGGGUCUUAUAUUUUAUUAAAUAAAGGAAAACCCCAUGUAGUAGAUACAAUUGAACCAGUCCCAAUCAAAGAAGAAUUUCUCAUCACACACAGCAAAUCUCGUGAAAAAAUUUUAUUGGCAUGAAGAUGAGACAUAAAUUUACAAGUUUCACGUUUUAUGUUUCUCCUAAUUCUUCUUCUACGGCUAUGAAAAUAGGGGUACAAAAUUCUGCUCUGAAAUAGAAUUUAAGGACUAUGAAAUCACUUCACACCAUAAUCAUAUAAUUGCAAUUAUAAUAUAGAAUAAAAAUAAGUAACUUGCCCAAAUCAAUAGUGAAAUUAACAAGAUUUAGGUUUAGGAAUUUGAGAGAAGAAAGGAAAGAAAUUAGAUAUCGAUUUUUUUUUGAUAUCGGAGUUAUAGCUUAAUGAGGAGAUACAUUAGAGUUUUCUAGUUUUUUUUCACAAGAUAAGGACACUCCCAUACACAUCUACUACCUCCAUAUACAUCCUUUAUCUUAUAUUUAUUAUUAUUAUUAUUAUUAUCAUUAUCAUCAUUCUUUUUGUAAUAUUUUAAUCAAUUAUCAAAUAGAAGUCCAAAUCAAUCUAUAUAAAUAAGUCAACUAGAUUCAAUUUCAUACAUAUUUAUUUAUUGACUCAAAUUUCAAUUUUAUAAUACCUCAAAUACAUCCUAUAUUACACAUGCUAAAAUAUGCCAUUGCAAUGCACUUUGACAAAUACAAAACAAAUCAAAAAUGUGGAAUUCACAUAAUGAAAUGGAAUAAUUUGAGAUGCAUAUGUUUAAGUUAUUUUAUGCAAUACAUGCAAAUUUAAAUGAAAUGCUUGUGGUUAAAGUCAAUGAGGUUACAUUCAAUACCUGCGAAUAAAUAGGGAUAUUUUCGCUUCAUAUUCUCCUCAGUUUCCCAAAUAGCUUCUUCCUAUGAAUGGUUCCUCCACAACACUUUACUCAAGAAAAUUUCUUGAUUCUGUAACUUUGUUGUCUUAUAACCAAUGAUCUUUACCGGUUCUUCAACAUAAUUCAAAUUAUCGGCAAUUUCCAUUUCUUGAUCAGAUUGAUAUCUUCUAAGCAUACUUACUUGAAACACAUCAUGGAUCUGGGCCAAUUCUGGUGGUAGUGCUAACCUAUAAGCUAAUGGACCAAUUAUUUCAAGAAUUUCAUUUGGCCCUAUAUAUUGAGGACUCGACUUGCCUUUUUUGCCAAAUAUGAUUGCUCCUUUCCAUGGUGAAACUCAAAGAAACACUUUAUCACCCACUUCAUAUUCCAUUUCUCUUCUAUGCUGGUCUGCAUAGCUUUUUUUGUCUAUCUUGUGCUGCUUUGAAUCUACUUUUGAUUAGUUUUACUUUAUCCACUAUAUCUUACACUAUUUUAGGGUCUUCUAAUACACGCAUACCUUCUUCAUUCCAAGAAAUAGGACUAUGACACUUUCUUCCAUAUAAUGCCUCGUAUGGUGCCAUUUGGAUACUGUUGUGGUUCUGAUUGUAAAUCGUGGAUCCCUGUUUGAUACAAUGGACACUGGAACUCUAUGCCAUCUAAAAAUUUCAUUCACAUAUUGUUUAGCUAAAAAUUCAAGUGAACUACUCUAUUUGAUAGGCAAAAAGUGAGCCGACUUAGUUAAUCGAUUGCCGAUCACCCAUAUAGCAUCAUUCUUUCUUGGAGUUUUUGGUAAUCCACAUACAAAAUCCAUCGUUAUUCUUUCCCAUUUCCAUACUGGAAUUGACAAAGGUAUCAGCUUUCCAACUGGAGCUUGGUUUUCUGCUUUAACUUGUUGACAUGUUAAACAUUUUGAAACAUACUCUGCCACAUCUUUCUUCAUUUUAGGCCACCAAUAAUGGGGUCGUAAGGUGUUGUACAUUUUGGUCAUCCCUAGGUGCAUAGCAUAUGGAGCAUUAUGUGCCUCCUCCAAAAGUUCUCGGCAUAGGUUAUCAACAUCAGGUACACAAAUACGAGAUCCUAUCAUCAAGGUAUCAUUCUGAACAUUAAACUCUUUAUUUUCCCCUUGCUUCACUUUGUCAAUCUUUUCUUGUAAUUGUGGAUCCUUGCUCUGUGCUUCCUUAAUUUUGUUAUGCAAUAUUGGUCUAACUUGCAAAUUAGCAAUCAACACUCCAUUUUCUUGUAAAUUUAAUUUGACAUUCAUAGCUCGCAACUGAACCAAAGAAGAGAAUGGAAAUACUUGUAAAUAAGCUACACUGCUUCUUGUCUUCCUACUCAAAGCAUCAGCUACUACAUUUGCUUUUCCUGGAUGAUACUCAAUUGUGCAGUCAUAAUCCUUCAACAAUUCUUUUGUCUCAUAUUUAACUCUCUUUGGCUCAAUAAGUACCUCAGACUCUUAUGAUUAGUAAAUAUCUGAAAUAUUUCUCCAUAUAAAUAAUGUCAUCAUAUUUUCAAAGCGAACACAAUAACAGCAAGUUCUAGAUCAUGUAUUGGAUAAGAUAACUCAUAUGGCCUUAGCUGUCUAGAUGCAUAUGCAAUCACCUACCAUGUUGCAUUAAUACACAUCCCAAACCCUGAUGAGAAGCAUCACUAUAAACUACAAAUCCUCCAUUACCUGUAGGAAUUGUUAACAUUGGAGUGUUGUCAACUUGGUUUUUAAUUCAUCGAAACUCUUCUGACAUGCUUCAGACUAUUCAAAUACAAUAUAUUUUUGAAGUAACUUUGUCAAAGGGUUGACUAUCAGUGAAAAUGCCUCAACAACCCGGCGAUAAUACCCAGCUAAUCUUAAGAAACUUUGAACUUCUACAACAUUCUGUCACUACUGCUUCUAUUUUCUUUGGAUCCACUUCUAUGCCCUGUCUAAAAAUAACAUGUCCCAAAAAUACUACCUAAUCUACCCAAAACUCACAUUUACUCAAUUUAGCAUACAAUUGUUUCUCUCUCAAGGUUUGUAACACAAUUCUUAAAUGAUGUUCAUGUUCCUCCCUACUUCUUGAAUAGACAAGUAUGUCAUCAAUGAACAAAAUCAUAAAUUUUUCUAAGUAGCACUGAAACACCUUGCUCAUGAGAGCUAUAAAUGCAAUUGGUGCAUUAGUUAAACCAAACGGCAUCACUAAAAAUUUAUAGUGCCCGUACUUAGUUCGAAAAGCAGUCUUUGGUACGUCUGGGUCUAAAAUUUUAAGCUGAUAGUAGCCUGAUUUCAAAUCAAUCUUGGAAAACACUUGAGGUCCCUGCAAUUGACCGAACAGAUCAUCUAUUCUGGACAAAGAAUAUUUGUUCUUCACGGUGACCUAAUUUAACUGCCUAUAAUCGAUACACAACCUCAUUGUCCCAUCUUUCUUUUUCAUAAAUAGCACUAGGGCACCCCAAGGUGACACACUGGGCCUAGUGAACCCCCUGUCAAAUAGUUCGUGCAACUGAGUUUUCAAUUCUUUCAAUUCAACUCAUGCCAUCCUAUAAGGUGAAAUAGUUAUUGGUGCUACUCUUGGUACUAGUUCAAUUGUGAAUUCCACUUCUCUAUCAGGUGGCACACCCGGUAAAUCAUCUGGAAACAUAUCUAGAUAUUCAUUUACCACUGGGAUAUUUUCAAUUGUAUUAUUUGUAGUUCUGGUAUCUAUCACAUGUGCUAGAUAAGCUUCACAACUGCUUUUAACCAUUCGGAGAGCCUUUACAACAUAAAUUAAACAUGCAGGCACAAUUUGUCUUUCCUUUAGAAACAUAACCCUCGGUUGAUUUGGAGAUUCUAAAAUAACCUCCUUGGUAAAAAAAUUCAUUAUGGCAUGAUGUUUGGUCAACCAAUCCACUCGGGACGACAGCAAAACCACAUUUAGGCGAACUCGCUUACAAAAAGGGAAAGUUGUACUACCACCAUCGAAAGCCGAAUUGACUGGGUUUUUGAAAUUCACUACCAAAGCCCGAAAGGACAGGUAUGCAGAUGUACGAACGCGAGCGAUUAACCUAGGUAAGUAUGUCGAUACUCAUUCUCUAGAGAAAUGAGAUAUAAAGGAGGAUUUCGAUGCUAUGAUAACUAGUCUGUGGUGGAAAACCUUAGUGACUGUUAGAUACCCCACAUUUAUUGAGUUGAUUAGAGAAUUCUACAUAACCUUUCAGUUUGAAAUACCCGAGAAUUUCACAUUUGAUAGUCCUGGAGUUGUGCGAUAUCGACUCCUAGGCAAUGAAUUUAAGCAAUCAAUUACUGAAUUCAAUUUGGUCCUAGGAUUUGUUGACACUGAAUUUUCUCUAACCAAUCAAUACAAGAGCUCUGCUAUAGAUUUUGUUGAUAAUCUUGAUCAGGCAAAGCUCUGGAAGACCAUGUCUUCUGACCCCAUGCAUUACGAUCCUAGCAACUCUAAAGGUGUGUAUCUUAGUAAACCUGAAUGGGUUUACAUGCAACGAUUUUUAGCAUUCAGCUUCUCUAGUAGAAAAGACACAGCAAAUGUAUGUACAAAAACUUAACUUUAUUUUAUUUGGUCCAUGUUGCAUGAAAACACAAUCAAUUUGGGUUUUUGGUUGGUUCGCAAUUCAAAUUUGUGUUGACUCGUAAGAAGCAUUUAUAUUUAGGCUUUUUAAUUAAUCAUUUGGCUGUUCGCCUUUGAUUACUCGAUCUCGAUAAUACUAACUUACAUAUUGCUUGUGAGAUGGAACCAUUGGACAUUGCCUGUUCGAUGAAGAUGCACGUGCUUGUGGAGAAUAAUGGGGAGUACUCUUUCUAAAAGCCUUCUCCGCACGGCCAAGGCGAUCCCCCAAGAUCUAGGAAACGAUCUUGCCCAACAAGUAAUCUUCGUGAUCCAGAGGACUCAACUAAACCAGAUUUUGAAGCUCGUUUAGAAAAGAUGGAACAAAAAAUUUCAAAGAUGGAGAGAAAUUUAGACGCCUUGAUGAAACACUGGGGAGUUCUACCCCCUUGCCCACCGUCACCAUAGACUACUCAAUCCAAGUGGCUCACAAAACAAGGGAGAAUCACAUCUCUUUUCAUUUAUUUUGAGAGCCAUUUUCUUUUUAAUACAUCGAGGACAAUGUAUAGUAUAGGUGUGGGGAGGAUAAUUACAUGAUUUCUUUUUGAAAAUAUCUUUUUAUGCUUAUAAUUAUGUAUGCUUUAAUUCAUAUGUGUUACUUUUUCUUUUGCAAUCUUGAGUGUUAUUUUGAUAACCUAGAAUACCAUGUAAGUUAGAAAUACAUUUGUGGUUUGAAUUUUAAUGCAUGAAAGGGAUAAGCAUGAUUAGUGUUUCUUUAAAAUUAUCUGAUGGUAUCUCAUUAGUUUAUUGAUCGAAAAAUGCACAAGACUUGAUACAAAUUUGAACAUUCAAGUGAACUUUUGAGCCUAAGAACAAGUCAUUAUAUUUUGCUCUAAUUGUAUUUUAUGAGUGUUAUCAAACUAGUAUGAUUAUUCUAGAACUUGAUUCUGAAUGCAUGUUAAGACCACAUCCUUGGAUUGAUGCUUUAAUAUGAAAAGGGCAAUUAGGAUUAACCUAUUCUUAGACUCUUAAAAUACUUACCCUGUUGAUUUCCCUUUUAUUUAGCCACUUUGAGCCUAUUUUCUAUUUUUUUUAACACAUGUUGUUUAACCCAAGACCUUUCAUUUGCUACCUCUAUUUUUUUUACCCUUAUCAUGACAAGAAGGGAAGUGUUGCAUGGUACAAAUGAAACACACAAAAAAGAGACAAAACAAAAAAAAAAGAAAAAGAGAAGGGGGAAAGAAAAAGAAGAAAAAGAGAAAAAGAAAGUUGAUAUCUAUUCCUUUCAUGAAAGAGGAGAAUUGAAGAAGUACUUAUCAAAUAUAUUGAAUUAAAUUGUUACUCUUCACAAGUUCUUAGUAUUCAUAUAAAAUGUGAGAAUAAAUAUCAACUUUUAAAAUUUUUUGUAGUAUGUUUCAUGGCGAUGUGGCAUAAGUUAUCAUGCAAGAAUCUAACCUUUUUGUCUUGAUAAGGAAACAUCUCAGUUCUUCCUUUUAUCACACCCUUUCCUAAACCCAGUUACAACCUUCGUGAAGUCCCUUUGAUUUUUGCGUCUAAUUCAUGUGUAGUGGUGGAGACUUGAUUCAUUAGCAACCUUAUGGUAAUAACAUGCUAUGUUCUGAUCCUGAGAGCAAAUGCGCCCUAAAUACUUUGAGAGUAUUAAAUGAAACCAUGUUAGGGUGUUAAGUCUUGUUGCUUUGAUUUUGACAAAUUAUUGAGAUGCCUGUUCUUUUUACAAAAUUUAUCCUAUAAGUUCUAAUCUCUUGAUUGUCAUUAUUACUCAGCUCAUUGAUGUAUGUUUAACUUAUUUGGUAUUUGAGGAGAUUAAAAGAGAUAAAAGGAAGGUUAAAAGGAGAAUUGGUAUGUUGAAUUUAGGUAUGCUUGAGGACAAGCAUAAAUUAGGUGUGGAGAAAUUUGAUAGGUCAUAAAUAGUUAUACUUAUUGUGUUUAAUUCUCUUAUAAUUUGAUUGAAUAAUGUACUUAAUUAUGUAAAUUCUGUUUAUUCUGACUUAGGUGAUGAAAUAUCAAGGAUUGAGCAAAAUUCAGCCUAAAGACAUAUUUGAAGUCAUCACUUGUUAAAAACCAAUUCUUUUGAAGGAAAUGCAGAAAUCUGUACAUAAGAUCAUUGUCGAUAAGGCGUGACCACGCCUUACAACCCAUGAGCUCCGCAGAAAUCUGUACAGAAGACCAUUGUCGAUAAGGCGUGACCACGCCUUACAACCCAUGAGCUCUGUAGAAAUCUGUACAUAAGACCAUUGUUGAUAAGGCAUGACCAUGCCUUGCAACCCAUGAGCUGCUGAAACUUGCAAAAGAGAGCUUCAAAUUUUUUAGAGAUAAAUUUGUGGUGGACCCAUCUUUAGUUAAUUUUCUUUAUUUUUGGAAGUGUUGGAUAAAGAGAACUUUCUCCUAUGUAUUUAGGAUUUUAAUUUGUUUAGAUUACUCUUUAUCUUAUCCUUCCUUGUGGGGAUAAGAUCAUAUAGGAAGCUUAUUUCUUUUUUAUAAGAAUUCUCUUAUUAGGGUUUAGGGUUUUACUUCCUAUAUAAGGACGGCUGAAAGUACUUUUAAUUAUUCUUAUUAUUCUUCUUCUUUUAUUUGCUACAAUUAUUUUCUUGUGAAUUCAUACUCCACUAUGUAUGGCUAAGUUUCUAGUUUCUAACUAAAUGGUGAAUAAAUUCCAAUUGUGAUUUUGUGAGGCUUUGUGCUUAACAGAAUUUUUCUUUAAUUCAAGUAUUCUUUAUUUCUUGUUUUUAUUAUUUAUGAAUUAUUAAUAUUGAUUGAACUGACGACUCAACUUUGAUUUUGAUUUUUCUAUAGCUGAACUUUGAGUUUGUGAUCCGUAAUUGUCAUGAACGACUGACACAAGUAGCAAGAAGCUGGCUCAUGUGUGUGCGAUUGCGGCUUAUUCGAAUUACAUAGCUUGCAUGAUAGGCUCUAGGGAAAUAAAGGAACAAGGUUAAUUCAAUUGCAGUUAUCUCAAUUAAUUAAUGUUGGUUUAGUCAUUCUCAUUAUUCUUAAUGCUAUCAUUAAGUUGAUAUGGAACGCUAUCGUGCCCAAUUGACUAAUGGUAAGUUUUGAAUUAGAUGUUGGGUUUGAGUCAAUUAUAUUAGGAGAAUUACACUUGUUGCGGCUUUUUCGAAUAAGUAGACUAAGUAUUUGAAUAGAAGAAUUGAUAUUUUAGCCUAUGAUCAUUAUUACAAUUGGAUGGAAUUAGCACUCUUGAAUUGGAAAUUUGUUAAGAUUGAUUUUUAUUUACUUUAAUAUUCAACCUUUAUAAUUUUCUGUUUAUUUAUAAUUUUGAUUCAAACAUUCAAAAUCCCCCUAUUUUUAUUUUACCUUGAGAAGCUAUCCACAUUAGUUCCCUUGGGAUUCGACCUGGUUUCACUAUCUCUACAAGUUAGUUUAGAAAAAUCAGUAAUUUAUUUUGAAGGGCUUCGACAACCCGUUCACUAUCACUUGUCAAAUUUGGUAGACAAUUUUCUUGUCAUAGCGACCCAAAUUAUAAUCUCAAUCCAUCUUUUCUCACAUAAUUGAGUCUUGAGGAGUCUGAAGAUGUUCUUUUCAAGGAGGUAGUUGCAUUUCUUCUUCAUUAUCAAUAUUCUGUUCUUAAUUAUUUUUUACUAUUUUUAUAAAAUCCUUUGCAAUGGUUGAACCUGCUCAAUGAAAUUUGUGAUAUUUUCUGCAUAUGUUGUGGUUCUGGACCUUAAGAUUGAAGCUUAUGGUGGAUUGCUAAUGAAUUCGACCUAGAUCAUCCCGAAUAUAUUUACUAUCACUAGGUUGUUAUAUGUACCUUGUGUUAAAUCUCAACUAGUGAUGACCUUCUAUAAAUGCAAUUGGAUCAGCUUCCAGGCUUGUGAGAGAAUUUUGUAGUUGUUCUUCAUACCAUUUAAUUUUUUCAUUUUCUUAUUUCAUCUUUGACUUAAUUUACCUCCUUCAAGAGACUAGGCUGUGCCAGUUGGUAAUGAGCAGGUGCUUUUGUCAUGCUGAAACCAAUUUAUUUUGGGUAUUUUACUCCCACAGGCUUGGCUUACAUAUUUUUGGAGCAUAGCCAAAGCUAAUGGUAUAGAGGAGGCCAUUGCUAAAGAACGACUGCAGUUUUGGAUUAACCGCCGGGGGCACUUGCCGAGUUCCUAUGAUCCUGUUGAUGGUAAACUUCAUAAUUUCCUGCUGCCAAGAUUUUCAAAAACCAUAAUAUGGUCAGUGUUUACUAGAUAACCACUUGGUGCAAUUCCAGUAAAUGUCCACUCAGCAACUCUUGUGGGUUUUGUUAUCUUCAAACGAAUGCAAAUUUUUUUGAAUAAGGAUUUAAUAAUGAUAUUGCGCUUGGAUGUCUGCUGUUUAGUCGAGCAAGGUCUGAUAGAGCUGAGGGAGCUAAGGAUAGAACAUCGGUUAUGGGAAGCAUGUCGCAAAGAAAUUGAGCAAGACUCUUCCACUAACAUCACACGAAAAUCUGCUGUAUAAUAAGGGCUCAGGCCCUGAGAUGUCUAUAUUUGCUUAGUACAAAUUUUUUCUUCUGUUUGGAAGAUGUGAGAAUCUAUACUUAAAAUUCUUUUAGUGAUGUAUGGCCUCUGAUUUUAUAGUCCAGAACAGUAAUACGAUACAAAACCAAACCAAGGAGUAGGCGCCCUCCCUUCCCUGUGAGGGACAAAUAUAGAUGUCAAUUUUAACUGACAGUUGAAAUUGCAUGUUUUAGAUUAAAGAUUCAUACAAUUCUGAUUAGAGGCGAGGCGAUUGGUCUUUCAUGGAUGUACAAGCAAUAGCUAUUGUUUUGUUCUGUUUGUUCCUCGUCUAUGCUUAAUACUACAAGCGAGCCUUUAACUUUUAAUUAAUUAUAAUGGGGCAGUUGCACUUGCAAGUGCGGCUUCAAUUAGAAACCAACAAGUUAUGUCUUAUGUAAAAAUGUAGAGAAGAAAAUUUUGUGAUAUAUUAAGUGAUAAUUCGCCCUCUUAUCAAAUUACAGGAUUGCAAAUGAGCCAUCUUCAUUUUAAUCCCAAAGGAGUUGGCAAUAGCAUUAGAAUUAAAGGAAGAUUUGUCCAGCCCAUAAUAACUCAAUUAACAUAGUAGCCAAACCACAAUAAACACUUUUUUUAUGUUUGGAGGAGAAUAUAAACAUCCGAUUCUGAUGGUUGUAUCUAGCGAAAAAUCACUUCACUUGGGGCCAAAGGAUCAUUUAGGAAACGACGUCGGUUACCAAGGUGCAGCAGCUACGUUUUCAAAUUCAUGCUCCAUAUUCAAAAUAUCUUCAUUCACAGCAUUAGCGUUCACCUGCAGAGUGAUGAGUUCAGAAUCUUUCAUCAUCUUCAUCGACACUUUCAUUG
rnacentral:lncRNA from 1 species